UUCAAUUUUGAGACAACACUUUUUUUAGCAUACACUGAUCAUAAUGUCAACUUCGACCCAAGACAAUAUUUCCAAAAUGACAUAUAAUACACAGAUCAUGUAGCAUUUAUACAAGCAUCCACCCGUAUAUACAAUACUUCAAUUUACAAAAUCCUCAGUGAAAUGAUAAUUUACAACAUCAAUUGAGAAAAUACAAAACAGAUCAAAGUUAGGAACUACCACACUCCACUUUACAUCAACAACACAUAAAAGUUUCUUAAAGCCCCUUAGCUCCACCUCACAGCUCAUUCUUUCAGUUCUCUCGGAGAAGUUGCUCUCCAUCAAAUUCAAUGUAAUGCAAUUCCUACAGACAAGAUUAAGCACAUCAGAAGCAUCAAGGGAAAUGGAUUAGAAGGAAAUCAUCAGGGAGGAACAAAAAUCUUAUAGAUCAGGGGAAACUAUCACAACAAAUAGCAUGGUUCUGGGCUUGGUAGGUACUGUCCUAGAAAAACAUUUACUAAGAAGCCCUUACAAAACUAUCUUCAAUGAUUCAAAUCAAGUUAUCUUAGUUAGAUGAUCAGAUGCGAGCUUCACAUCAUGUCCUAAACAUGCAUAUUGUCUACUCUCACAGAAACAACCAGUACAGAUAAAUGUCCUGAAAAUUUCUUAGCAAAAGUACAUUAUAAGAUGAUAGUAAUAUAAUAGCCUUGCAUAAGAAAGUUCCAAGGUCCACAAAAUAUUAUACACAUAUUACUAACCAUGGUUCAUAAGUUCUAAUUUUCACAAAUAUCAGACAACCAAUUUCACAAACUGAAGAUUGGAACGACAACUUGGUGAAAUAAAUUUAUCACAACUCAAUGGAGUGACCAUGUUAGAGGCCUGAAUGUAACAUCACUUUCUAGCUGCCAGAGCAUUCAAAAAAUCUAUUGAGGUAUGUCAUUAUGUGGGAAAGGACAGCCCCUCUACUAAGAAAAAUGAGAACCAUAAAAUUUAUUUAGUUUCCAUGACUAGAAGCAAACAGUUGAGAUGGUUGUCCAACAUCGUUUGAGAUAUACGAGAUAAAGUUGGGGUAGCACCAAUUGAGGAGAAGCUUGUCCAACAUCGUUUAAAAUGGUUUGGGCAUAUUCAGCGCAGGCCUCCAGAAGCUCCAGUGCAUAGCGGACGGCUAAAGCGUGCGGAGAAUGUCAAGAGAGGGCGGGGUCGACCGAUUUUGACAUGGGAGGAGUCCGUUAAGAGAGACCUGAAGGAUUGGAGUAUCGACAAAGAGCUAGCUAUGGACAGGGGUGCGUGGAAGCUUGCUAUCCAUGUGCCAGAGCCAUGAGUUGGUUGCGAGAUCUUAUGGGUUUCACCUCUAGCCUACCCCAACUUGUUUGGGACUAAAGGCUUUGUUGUUGUUGUUGUUGUUGACUAGAAGCAAACAGUCUAGUUAAUUUGGCACCAAGAUUUUGCUUCGAGAAGGUAAAAAAAAUGGCACUAAUGAUUAUUAUUUUAAUAUCUUGUUUUCUGCUACAAUAACGCAGCCGAGUCUCUCUACCAGAUAAGGGAACGAUCUUUGGUUAGCUCACUUUAUAUGGUAUAAACACAUUUAACUCACAUAUGUGCAAAGCAAAUGAAAUGAGCUUGUUUGCCAACAAGCUGGGAUAGUAUCCUGUGGAAAGCAAGCAAAAUGAACACAUGACCAGAGCAAAGGGAAGAAGGGAUGGGGAUACCUUCAACAUUUGUGGCUGAGGCCGACAACACCAUCAUCGGAGCUAGCCCAAACCAACCCAAACAGCAUGAUGAACCCCUUCUCUGUUCUACAAUGAACCCCUUCUCUGUUUUACAGUCCUUCUUGCACAUUCAUAAAUGGAUGAAGCAAGUAUUAACCUUUAAAUAAGUGACCUGAAUAGCAGUUAUGAACCAACUGUAUAAUUUGUGGAUUUUCAAAGAUUAUAACCUAUAAAGAAGUGACCUAAACAGCAGCGAUGCAACAUCUUUUUUAUAUGUUUCUUCAACAUUUUGCUUUCUAAAGUACACACAAUUCUUUCUCUUGCAUAAAGCAAUAUAUGUUCGCAUGAUAUUUAGAACUGUAAGGGGGAAAUGAUCAUAGAACUGUAAACUGUUGUUUGUAGGUUGCUAUUAUACUGAACAUUAUUUGGCAUCACAAGUUGACCACGGACAAAGUAUAUAUAUUUGAUGAGUCUAUAUUAAUUUGUGUUAAGAAUCUGUUUUUGUAUGUUUAUUUGAGAUCUUUAUGAUUCCAAGCAAUCAUCUACAACACUUGUAGUAAGCAAGUUUGCAUGUACAACUCUGUUUGCAGACAUGCUACUUUUACUUCUAUCUGAGGACUGCAUUUACUAUUAUUUUGGAAGAUAACAUCAACAAAAUAACUGGAUACUGCACUAGUACGUAUAUGGUAAUCAAAAUGUAAAUAUUCAGACCAAAGUAUCAGAAAAAGGAGAUUAUAUUUCACAUAAACUUGACUGAAACUAAAUCAGAAAAAGCCAUGUAAACAGGACCACGACUAGAAAUAUGAUGUGCCUCUUUCAGGUAUUGGAAUUUUGAAACAAGAAAGGCAUCGAGUACAUGACAGCAACCACAGACAUGGACUACAGGAAGAUUAGGGAGGGGUUUUGUUCAAAAUAAAAGCCAAGUAGCUACCGUGUGCAGACUCAUGGACGCAUACAGAUGGGGAGCGACCGUUUACUACAGGUACCAUCCCGAUCUAGACGCAUACCAAACCGUGGUGCUUACUCAUAUUUAUAUAUGUAACAGAUGCAAGUGCCAUUCAGAUUUGGGGUAGAGGGGGGAGAGAGAGGAAGCCCACCACGUACACGCGCAUGACGACAAGCUGUACAUCGCCGGAUGGGUGGACGGGUUCAGGGACGAGGAGCACUGGCGUUCGCCGCUGCCAUCGUCGAGCGGGACAAGGCCGUCGGGCCCGCGCUCAUCCCGAACAUGCCGCUGCAGGGUGCGCCCAUCAGGACAUACUGUGGGAGGUCGGCCACGCAUGGCCCUAUUCGACGAGCACCGUCCAGCAGGUGGCAGGCGACGAAGAGGAUCGGCUGGAGCCGCGCUGGCGCCGAAACCCUUGCCACGGGGAUGGGUUGCUGGAGAGCGCUAGUGGUGAAUCUAGCCGGAGGGGAGGAAGGAGCGGAGAGAGGGGAAGCUGGAGGUAGGAUGCGCGCCGGCCAUAGCCGCCGAAAGUCAUCGGAAUCAUGGGGGCGGCGGCAAGGAGUCGCGUGGGAGGAGAGAUGGGGGCUGCGGAGGGAGAGAGGAGCGGCGGAGGAGGGAUUAGGGUUAGCAUUUUAUACCAGGAACGGUUAGCCGGGCUCGAGCGGGCUUGAGCGGGCCUGCCAGGCUGUACUAGUCCGUCUAUGACAAUAUUCGAAAACGUCAUCAGAAAUCCAUCAUAGAUUAACAGGUUUCUUGUAGUGGAAUAUGAGUGUUAAGGUUUGUGAUUUACUAUUUCAUUAAAGUGCCAGUCGUGGCAUGACCAGGACGUUGGAGUGUUCGGUAUCCCUGAUUGAUAUCCGUCGUGUUGUCCAGGCCAGUUCGCGUGGUGGUUGAACUCCUCCCAACCUCCUCCCUAGGGGCGAGAUAUAGUCGUUGCGCGUCCUUUUUUUCCUUCUCUAUUUCUCUUUUUAAGUGCACACUAACAGGUGGGCCCGUUAUUGUAGACGCUUAAGCGAGAGAUCCUACCGUUUCGCUUGAGCGAGAUAUAGUCGUUGUGCUCCCCACCACCUUGUAUCGGUUGGGCCGUUUAUUCUGUGUAUAUAUAGUGGUAAAGCAGUAUAAAAAAUUAACUAUCUAUCAUUCAAACGCCUUUAACCGAACGGAAUUGUGACAAAAGGGUACAAGCAUAAAGGGGUCCAACGCGCUUGGACAAGACCUAGUUUUUUUAAAAAAUAGAGGCAAAUCAAACGGAUAUGCCCUAAGUAGGGGCUCAAAUGUAAUUGUUUUAAUUUAAUAAUGAUUUAGCAUUCAAAAUGUAAGGACCGAUCUAGCGAGCGGUCGACUGCUCGCUAGUCGUCCCGAGCGGCCGUCUAAAACAGACAAUUUUGAUCCCUAAUCCAUAAAAGGUAAUUUGGCCCUUCCAAUUGAUAAAACAAUUCUAAUUAGAAAAAGUAUCACGUACUAAAAAAGUACUACAAAGAACAGAUAUGGACCCGUUUAUUUUGGGUUUUCAAUUUUUUAAAAAGUCACAACUUUUUAGAUCGCGCUUCGGAAUUAAGAUCCGUUUUCACCGUUGGAACCCUCGCGACGUGCUCUUCAAAAGUAGAUCCCAUAUGAGAUGUUUCGACGAACUAGUCUUCCUGCCAACUAAAUACCAAUAUGCGUGCAACUAGACUACAUGUCGCGCCAACUAAGCAUAUGCGUGUGCCAAUAGUCAUUCUGCCAACUAAACAUCAAUGUGUGUGCAACUAGACUAUAUUAUCGCGCCAACUGAGUAUAUGUGUGGUGUCAAUAGUCCUGCCAACUAAACAUCAAUGCGUGCGCAACUAGACUACAUUGCCACGCCAACUGGGCAUAUGUAUGUGCAACUAGUGUCCUGCCAACUAAACAUCAAUAUGUAUGCAACUAGACUACAUUACAAGCCAACUGGGCAUAUGUGUGUGCCAAUAGUCCUGCCAACUAAACAUUAAUGUGUGUGCAACUAGACUAAAUUACAAGCCAACUGAGCAUAUGUGUGUGCAACUAGUCUUCUCUGCCAACUAAACAUCAAUGUGUGUGUAACUAGAUUACAUUACAAGCCAACUAAACAUCAAUGUGUGUUCAACUAGACUACAUUACAAGCCAGCUGAGCAUAUGUGUGUGCAACUAGUCUUCACUGUCAACUAAACAUCAAUGUGUGUGCAAGUAGACUACAUUACAAGCCAACUGAGGAUGUGUGUACAACUAAUAUUCUCUGCCAACUAAACAUCAAUAUGUGUGCAACUACACUAUAUUAUAAGCCAAUUAAAUAUUAAUGUGUGUGCAACUAGAGUAAGUUACAAGCCAACUGAGCAUAUAUGUGUGCAACUAGUCUUCUCUGCCAACUAAACAUCAACGUAUGUGCAACUAGUCUACAUUACAAGCCAACUAAGCAUCAUUGCGUUGAUUCGGUUAGCUGCACUGUCGUCUUCAGAUCACUAGCACGUCCCCAAAAAUUGAUGUUGAGACCUGCUAGCUUGUUUUCCUCGUGGCACAACUCCAGCUCCAAAAUGUUUGAAUCUAGGCAAGCAUGUAUCAAAGAAACUGAAUAAGGCGAGGCCAAAUCGGUGUAGCUAACAACAACGAGCAGGAUCCAAAGAGAAGUACAACUAGGAGCGGGAUCCAAAGAGUAGUACAGUGUUGACGCUCGAUCCCCACUGACGCUCGAUCGCCAUGGCAGUUGCCGUCGCUGCUGCUUACAGGCGACCCCCAACAUGAGGUAGCAGGUACCUUGACAACCACCACGAAACCGCCAUCCACAACGACGACGCUGACAACAUCUCUCCCUGGCUCUGAGAAAAAGGGGAGAGGGCGGCGGCGCUGCUGCUGCUUCGGCCCUACGGCCGACCUGCUCGCCGCACUCCGUCGCUCCGCCGAACAGAGCGUCGGCGAGGAUCUCCGUGCCCUCAGGAUUCGAUGCCAGCGUGGACCUCCGUGCCCGACACGGAACAGAGACGAGGAAAGGGGAUCGAGAAGAGGAACGAGAGAGAUGGCAGAGUGGAUAAGGCGAGGAGAGAGAGAGAUAUGGAGUGGUCGUUUCAAACAGCGACCUGUCGUCUAGCGCGGCCGCUCGGUUCGACUAAAUCGUGCACGGCCACUUUUUAGAUUUUGGGAAAAUGUAAUUGUCCCAACACGGGCGAAACAUGACCUAGGAACCCGGUUUGACGAGACGUGUGGCAUUGGUGACGUGUCGCUUUGAGAAAAGAGAAACCCGCGUAUCAAAAGUAAACGCUGGUUCGCGAUGGUUUUCGGUGUGCGAUGGGCCAUUUGUACGAUGGUAAUAAUGCACGAUGGACCAUUAUUGACUAAUACCUCUGUAAGUUUUUGAUGGUCAAGAAAUUCCUGAUUAUUACAUUUUGUGCGGGGGAAUUAGCGAGAAUGUGCACGGCUAUACGGCAUUGGUUAAAAAAACGACAUCGGUAAUGCGGGAUGAUGCCCCCGUGUGCUCAGGUCGUUUCAUCUGGUCAAUCAAUCAGCUCUCUCGUUAUUCGGAACCGCGUAGUAUAAGGUCCCGUUUGCUCCACGAAAUAUCGCGGCGAUCUCAGAUUUGGUUCCCGGUCCUUUCCCCCUGUCCCGCGCUGCCGCGUGAAUAAUAAUGGCCGAAGAAAUAUAUAGGACCUUUUUUCCUUUCGGAAAUCAUCAGGCAACUCACGGCAGCUCUUGGUUUCCAAAAAUGGAACAGGCGCGUGGGCCACUUCGACCAGCGUCGUGCCCUCCGUGCCCCUCUCGACUCCUGUGCGUGCGUGCGCGUUGAGCGAAAACGCCUACAAAUAUCCAUCCCUCCGCCGAGAGCCCGGAGCACGGGAUUUGCGAACGAACGCGCUCUGUCUCUCCGCCUCUCAGCUCUCAAACACGUCCACUCGUUUCAAAAAAAAGUCCACCCGUUUCAAACUUCUCCGGCGGCUCCAGGGCCGAGAUCAGGGAUGGGAGGGUGCUUCUCCGGCGACGUCCGCGGCGGCAUGGAGGCCGUCGGCGGGGGCGCGAGGGGGGCGGCGGCGGCGGUGCAGGGCCAGGGCCAGGGCGGGCCUAACGAGGCGGUCGACCACUUCUUCCAGGGCCAGGCGCUGCGCCUCUACACCCCUCUCGAGGUACGCUCGCUCGUUCCCCUCCACGGGAAACCCUAGUAGCUAGUGUCCAGUCCAGCGCUGCUCGCUAGUCGCGGAGACUUUCCCAGAAUGGUAUGGUUCGCGGAUUCGUGGUCACCAUUGGAGCAGGGUUUUUGGGGGUGGGAAGGAAUUUGGGGGCCCUCGCGGAUCGCGAUCGGCUCUGGCGACCGGAAUUUGGUGGGCUUUCGCUGUCAAGUGAGGUGGAUUUCGGGUGCCAUUGUUUGUUUAUUUUGGUAAAUGCGCUUCGCUGUCACAGCGUACAGAUGUUUCGAUUAUUGCCACCAAAGACCAAACCUCUCGGCAUUGCAAUUGUCGCUUUGAUUUUGGUUUGGAUGAUUGGAUCCCAGUAUCCCACAUUUUUAUCUGCAAGUGUGCCUCGCUUUGCGCCAAUUUUUUAAUGCGGGCAAUUUAGGGGGCUUUUACUCAAGAGUUUGGGUUUGAGGCGGGUUUUGUGAAAUUCCGUCGCUCGGCUCUGAAUUGGGGUUUUUAGGUUGUUUUGGGGAUAAUGUGUAGUAUUGCAUAUUUAGGUUUUGGUGCCAUUUUGUCCGCUGGUCUGCGUCCACGAAGAUUGUUCGGUACUAUCAUGUGACGUGUCCUUUGUACUCUUAUAAGUUCACAUCGAAGUACUUGGGAAAUUCGUCUCUGUCAGAGUCAAGUCGGAUGUGCGGCGCUAGCGCACCUCAAGCACUGCGUUCCCUACGUUUUGGAAUUUAUUUAUUUAUUUGCAUCAACUGCAUGCGUGCAAUUAUAUUCGUUACAGUUUUUAUUUACAAAAUGGCAUACGAGUUCUUGGUGACCUGCUUGUGCACAAAUAAGAUCCUGACGGAAGUGACGAAGUAAUGUUUUUCAGUUUCCGCAUGUGGUUUCUCAAUUGGUGAUCGCAUAUAAUUUGAUGGACUGGUCUCUGGAAAACAUAUUUUUAAUAUUGAUUAAUAUUUUGGCGCUGGAGUAUUUUCUGGAAGUGGAUCAGGAAUGAUCAAAGAUAUUUUAGGUCGGAGUGGGUGGUGGACAUCAAUCGUUUGCUUUAAAAAUGGAACCAUGUUGUGCAGAGAGUCGCACUAACGUUCACACACUGGACGAUGAACUUUAUGUCCUACAUACAACCAAACAAUUUAUUUUAUUUUAUUAUAAGAUUUACUCAAUCUAUUUCAAUUAGGAGUUGUUCAGACAAUAUAAUACCAUGUCUUCGAAUUCUCAAGGAUCCAAGAAUGUGCUUGCAGUGGGUUGUGCGCCACCUAUGUAUCAUGAUUUGUGAUGAUGGGUACAGGAAAUGUGCGCCACCUAUAGAGUUCAUCUGUUAGAACGUUUAUAAUGUUUCCAAUGCAUGUUCAAGGAUACCAUAUACUUGGAUAUGUUCCAGCCAGCAAUAAUGUAGAACCAGUUCGGUGUAUGUUGGUGCUGCAUGCUAAUAUGUUCUCAACUAGCUGAUAGUAAAAAAAAUUAAAAAAAAACUAGCCGAUAGUGGAUGUCAAUAUAAUCUGCCUUGAUUGACAUGUCGCCAUCUUCCUGCAUUGCAGCUAUCCUUUUCAGCUUCCAAGUUGAGAAAUAUGGAUGCUCUUUCUAAGGUAAAAACUACCAUCCAGUUCUUCCAUGCAUUUCGAUCUGUACGUAUAUUUAUAUUCCCUUUCCUGUAGUGCAUCUUACUGUACCCUAACUUAAAAAGUGAAGUUAAACUCUGUUGGAACUGAAGUAGAUGCUGCUCAAUGUUGGAUAUCCUUUGGCUUUUUGCUAAAAAAUGUCAAGUUUAAAACAAAGAAAACUAUAUGUUAUUAUGUAUGAACAGGUGCAAAUUUGUGAUUCUGUAUCCACAUGUCAUUUGUUUACCCUCUUAUUGUACCGUUUUCACCUUUUCUAGAGCCAAAAAAAGUGUGCAUGAACAAUCUUUGAAGUUUCAAAUUGGCAUUGAUUCUCCUUGUAGUUUUAUGAUCAAAGUUGUGAUACGUAAGGCAAACAGAAAUGAAUUUCUAUUUUGGCCCUAUAAGUUAUAUGUAAAGAACAACAAUUCAAGCUAAUAUUCAGUUUUAGCUAACAACAAGAUGGUUACAUUUUGAAUAGCUGAAACAUGAAACCACCAUCCCGGAAAGCGGCAUGCUCAUUUUCAAGAUAUGUUGCUCUCUUUUUCAGUUUAUUUUGAUAUCUGUUUGUACAUCCAAGAUCAUUGCAUUGCCAAUCUAUGCAUAUUCAAUCAUUGUGCUUAAGUAUGUUUCGUUUGCAUCAGCUACACUAGAAAACAUGCAUCCUACUGUCAAAGUUUUCAUUGUGGUGUACAAAAUCUUUUACAGCAAAGUGUGUAACCGAAAAUUAUGGUGCUUAAUUCUGCUUGGUUGUUUUUCUCGUGUAUGUGUAUUUAUCCUCCUCAGCUAUAACUCUGCUUGGUGCAGAGUGAUCCUAUGUUGGUGGUUUACACAAAAAUGGAUGGAAGGCUAGAAGAGAUCGGCCGCACUGAAGUGAUAUUGAAUUCACUGGAACCAUUGUGGAUCACAAAAGCUAUGAUAAAUUACCAAUUUGAGAUUGUUCAACCGCUCGUGUAAGUUUAUAAAACUAUAUACAUACUGAUUACUUGUAGAAAGCUCAUACUUACUGCUACCUCCUUUUGGGCUCAUGAUAGGUUCAGGAUAUAUGACGUUGACACAAAGUACCAUAACACACCACUGAAGGUAUAUUCUGUGCCCUUAAUUCAUGUUUUUGCUUCACCCAAAUUCAGUUUGAGUGCUUAAUAUCUGUGUAGCCAUGCUUCAAAUCAAGACAUGCUUUCUUGUUUUAUUUCACUGUUCUUUGUUAUUUUCUUAUGGCUACAUUUAGUGUGUCAAUUUUCUAUAACAUUUCCUGCUAAUAUAAAAUAAUAAUUUUUAAAAAGAGCUUUGUGGUCAGUACAAGACAAGGCAGUCAUGCAGGAGAAAAGGGCCAAUAUGUAAAACGAAGUGAAGGUGCCAAGUAAAGUGGUGAACUUCAGUACAAUGUUUUGUACCGAAAAAUACUACAGAGUGAUGCAUAUUUGCUCAUCAAAGAGUUAACCCUCCUAAACUAAUGGACUGAGUAACCAUGUUAGACAUAUAGUAGCCAGAUUACACGUUUGGGGACUCAUUCUUUUUUCCACACACAUGUAGCAUGCUAGCUGUUGUUCGUUUGCUCAUUUUUUCGCUCCUGCAUAAUGUAACAUCGGGUCAAAAGAUGGAAGGUAUGAAAAUUUACAUAAAUAUUGUGCUCAAAACAAGUGGUAGAAUUUUCACAGUUGCCAAUAUUUAGUCAAAAUAAUUUGGGUGAUGAGGUGAUGGUAGAGUUGUCUUAACAGUUUCAUUGCGCAGAAAAACAAUUGUAAGUUGGCUGUGGGCUAUCUUUUACCUUCAGUGACUCACACAAGACAGCAACAUUAUAGCCUGCUUAGAAUUUAUAGUCUAUUACUUUAUAUGCAACUAUAGAAGCCUGAAUCAUUUGUAUUAUGCAGAUGUUGAACUUGGCUCAGCAAGAUUUUCUAGGGGAAGCAUUCUGCAAUUUAUCCGAGGUUGUGCAACAUCAGUUAUAUGAUACAGUACAAUGCAUAAUCCAGCUGCAGUAUAUAAUUUCUCUGAAUAAAUGCAAAUGAAGAAGAGAGACACACAAAUGCACUCUCCUGAUAUUUAUUUUGCACCCCUUUGCUCUUUUCACAGAUAGUCACAAAGUUCAACCAUAGCCUGACUUUGAACCUCCGAAAUGGCUCUGGACAUGCCCUUCAGGGCACAGUGACAGUACAUGCGGAAGAAACUGCUUCAUCAAGGAUGGCAGUUGAUAUGCAAUUCCACUGCCUGAACCUGGAUAACAAAGACACGUUCUCCAAAAGUGUAUGGUUAACUUCCUUGGUAGUUAUAAGGUGGCAAAUUAAUUGCAGUUCUAAAUAAAUGGUUUUUAUUGUGCAGGAUCCCUUCUUGAGAGUAUCAAGACUCUCAGAAAGUGCUGUUGCCAUUCCUAUAUGUAAAACAGAAGUGAUCAAGAACAAUUUAAAUCCUAUUUGGAGGCCUAUAACACUGACAUCACAGCAGUACAGUAGCAAGGCAAGUAACAUUUUUCUAGUAUAUGAAUUUUUGUGUCGGACUUGUUUAACACAUGUGUAAUUCAAGGUUAAUCUAAUUUUCUUCUUCUAAUAUGUGACUUUAUUUCAGGAUGACCCACUGCUAGUUGAGUGUUUUGAUUUUGAUGCCAGUGGCAACCACGAACUUAUUGGGUAGGUUGGGUGAGGAAGUGUUCUGGCAUCUUUUGUCAUUGAUCCCGAGUUUAAUUAUUUUUGUUAUUUUUCUGACAAAUAGGUCUCUCCAGACAACUAUCGCUCAGCUUGAAAAUCUAUAUAACUCAAAGGCUGGAGCAAAUUUUUACAGCCAUAAGGGACAAAAGAAGGUUAGAUUUCAACUAUAUGACACAAUAAUUAACAAAAAAUUACUCCAUCUAACCUCUCGACGUAACCAAUCUGUGCUCAGUUGAAAGGACAGUUGUUCUUGGAUAAGUUCCAGGAAAAAGUUCAACAUACUUUCUUGGACUAUAUUUCCAGUGGGUUUGAGCUCAAUUUUAUGGUGGCUGUAGAUUUUACUGGUUAGUUCUAAUUGUGAGCUUCAAUGGUUUAUCUGUAGCUCUGUCAGUCAUUUGUGGCUUAUGUGUGGUUAUUAUUCCAUGUGUUUCCAGCAUCAAAUGGUGACCCUCGCGUACCACAAUCUUUGCACUACAUUGACCCCUCUGGCAGACCAAACUCAUACCAGCAGGUUUGGAAUUUUCUGACGUUGCUAGGAUAUUCUUUAAACUGAAAGCCUUCUCAUUGAACCAUUUGAUGUAUACCAGGCAAUUCUAGGGGUAAGCGAAGUUCUACAGUUUUAUGACAAUGAUAGACGAUUCCCUGCAUGGGGUUUUGGUGCAAAGAUACCACGAGGAUCUGUAUCCCACUGUUUCAACUUGAAUGCAAGCACCAAUGACUGUGAGGUGAGAUUAAUGCCUGAUGAGCUACUGCCAAUUUUAUUUUAUUAGUUUUUGACAAUGGAUGAUAUCAAAAAGAAACAUUCCCCUAUAAACCAUUUGUGUAUUUUGAGCUAUGAGCUUUGUUUGUUUCCUUGUUUUGCUUUUGCAGUAGUAUUAACUGAACAACUAAUUCUUCACACAUGAGAAUGUAGUGCUACAAAGCCAAAUUGUGUUCAGCUGCAUCUCCUGCUUUUGGCUUCCUUACAAAUGUUAGUGUGCAGAUAUUGGUGACUAAGAAAUUAGAUUCCUGUUGGACUCAUGAAUCUCAGUAGUUACAAAAUAGUGAUAUGGCUUUAUCAUAUUUGCGCUGUCUCAUCCUCUUUAACUACUUAUAUUUUCUCUUAACAUCUCUUUUAGUAGUCAUAAGUGUCACCUAUUGGCACGGCAAAUAUAGUGCUACAAAUGAUGUGUGGUAUUGUUCCUGAAAUGUUGCCAAAAAAUAAAAGCAACCUAUAGAAUAACUGAUGGUAUUUAUAUUGCUUAGAUCAGUUUUUCGGAUCUUUUAUAUUUACCCGCUGAUGGCACCUAGAUUUCUUACACCGCAGUUGAUGUUUAGAGAUUUUUCUGUUCCUAUCACAGGUAGUUGGAGUUGAAGGCAUCAUGUCAGCGUACUCUUCUACUCUUUACAGUGUUUCUCUUGCGGGACCAACCUUGUUUGGGCCAGUGAUCAGCAAAGCUGCAGAAAUUGCCAGCCAUUCUGUGCAAUAUGCAAACAACAAAUAUUUUGUCCUGCUCAUUAUCACGGUAUGUAACCAUAUAUAUCCUCAUGUGACCUCUGUUCAAAAAAUUUAACCGAGCAUUGUAUGCAGGAUGGAGUUAUCACCGACCAGCAAGAAACAAAAGAUUCUAUUGUAAGGGCAUCAGAUUUGCCGUUGUCGAUUCUCAUCGUGGGAGUCGGGAAUGCUGAUUUCACUCAAAUGAGGGUAAAUCAUUUACUGAAUACGUGAUAAAUAUUUCAUCCCCUGAACAUUUUUCUUGUCAUCUCGGUCUUGAAUGGGCUGCAUGCUGUGCUUUGGCAUCUGGCUAUUUCUUAGUAGCUUUAGUUUCGGUCCGGCAGUUUGUCGCUGCCCUUGUUAAUUGCAUCUGUGGGUCCAACGAAGCCGCAGGCAUGCACUUGCACCUACCAGAAAGUUUGCUCUAGUUAUCACAUGCAGUUUGCCUGAUAAACAAAGGCUGCCGGGACCGGAACAUGCUGCUCUGUGUGAUCUUUAUUUUUGUCACCGCAACACGAAGUAGCAGUAACAUCUUAUCUGGCAAUUCUCUUUGGCUUUGUGAGAUCCUGGAUGCGGACUUCGGUAAGCGGCUUGAAAGCUCAACAGGCAGGGUCGCGACGCGCGACAUCGUCCAGUUCGUCCCCAUGAGGGAAGUCCAAGGUCAGUAUCAGUUUUGCAUUCUGUCAUCAUCAACUUACACCAACUCUUUGCUCAUAGUACCACCGCUGAAAACAAGCGUGACGAUUUUAUCAGCAGGUGGGCAGGUCACCGUUGUCCAGAGCCUGCUGGAGGAGCUGCCUGGGCAGUUCCUGGAGUACAUGCGCACUCGGGACAUCAAGCCGCGACCGCCCCAGCACGCCUCAGCGCCGCCAGCUUACCACCCUCCUCCUCCCCAGCUGUGAAGGAACCCCGCCGGGUCCGCCACCCCACACAAGCUGGUCUGCGCGUACGUACCAGCUGGCAAUUGUAGAUUCCACCGUCUAUCUGUCUGACUAACUCCCGUCGCCGUUGUCUCCACAUCACGUUAGGUACUGAACCCCGUCGAUAACUUCUCCACCCAGGUUUAGGACGUGGCUGCAAACACUACGUAUGAAAAAUGAGACGCCUCCUUGUAUUUUUCUCGCUGAACUGCUGCUAUGUUGGUCACUUUGUCGCCGACAAGGAAUUAUCUCCAGGCCACCCAUCCUGUCACUCUGUGCGUUUACUUGAGGUUUUGUUUAUCGUUCAUCCCAAUUCAUGGGUCGGCUAUCCGCGGUCGCCUGUUGCUGGAGAAGGUGAAGGAGAAAAAUUGCGGGAGGCUUGGUAUCACAUUUGUUAAGCAGAGGCAUAAUGUACUCUUUUCAACCUUUGGACUAAAUAGGCGGGACUGAAAUUAUUCAAUUUAGUUAAGUGUCGCUAACUUAUCCAGGACUCCUCUUUUUCCUCGGUGAAACAAGAAAUCAUUUUAUUAAAAUGAAAUUCCUGAGCGUUUGAUGAAAAACUACCACUUUAGGGUUCCUGUCCCACGGAACUACUACUUUAAAAAAAAAACUGACCAAUGACCAAAGUCUACCGAUUUUUUUUUAAUUUUGUGUAUAAAAACUACCAAGUCCGGUUGAUGACCGUUUCAAGCGAUUUAAAGACUGGAGUGGCCCACCUCUAUGCCUAACGGCUAACGGCGCCAUCAGCUGCCCGUGAGUGCUGCUGCUUGGUUGGGUCGUGCCAGACCAGGUCAAACCAUCUCGACCGGCUCCCCCGUUCCCCAUCUCACUCUCCCUUGAGCUCCUCCCUAGCCCUAGGCGGCGGCUCUAGUGGCAGCCAUGGAUGCAAACUCCAGCGGCACAAAUCAUUUGGCGGCAUACCUACAGACGUCGGCGGCUGGGGGGGGGGGGGUUGGUGACUUCUCGCAGGUGGAUAACUAGCUAGGCAGCAUGAGCUUCACGGCGCAGCAGCUUUCCCAUCCAGAAUCACAACAUUCGCACAAGUUGGCUUGGUCAGUGCCGGCUCAACCACUGUCGACUACAAGGAGUACAUCGUGAGGCCGGUGCAAGCUUCCUCGUCCUGGGGGCAGCGACAGGUACGACAACUCAUCUAUCUGGAAGUUUAUCUGAGAUUGCCAUUAUUUUCAAAUUAGGAGAAAAUUUAGGGUAGUUCUUGCAUAGUUAGAUUCAGUUAUCCAUCAUUUAUGAUAACAUUGGUGCUCUUGCAAAUUGCAAAAAACUUCAACUUUGUGGUGUAAGACAUGGGAAAACGUAAUCAGUCAGUUAUCCAGAAUCUGAAAAUUAUGCACACCUAGAUUCAUUUUUCCAGUUAUGUGAUAAUAUUUGUAAUUCAUUCAAUAUGUGCGGUAUCGAUGACCCAAAGUGGGCAAUUUGGUUCCAUUUCCAAGCCAGAUAAUCCGUGGUUAGAAAUCUGUAGCAAUUAGACAUAUCGUAUUUGACUAUGGUUUCUCUUAUUGGGAGUGAGGGUCGUGAGUCUGAUGAUUAUAUGUACUAUGCAGUUGAUGAGGAGAAAGGAAUAGAAGGUCUAAAGGAAAUAUGUUGUGAAGAUGAUGUGCAAUAGAUGUUGAUCCACUCUUAUAAUGAAAAUAUUUUGAACAUGAGAGUUGUUAGAGGAUAUGAGCCAUGUAAUGCAGAUGAAAACAGAGAUAGUUAUUUUGCUGAACACUGCAUUAACACACAACAAAGUUGCACUAGGUGUGGAAUACAAACAUAGGCAGAAAGGAGGAGCUUAAGAAAAACAUUAUGUAGAGAGAAGCUGACCUUAACCAUUUUGAAGGUGACACUGAUGUGUCUGAAUUUCUUUUGGAUGAUGUGCAAUCAGAUUCAGAUGGCAACAAUGUGGAACAUCAGGCGAUGACUCCUUUGAAGAUGAAUCUACAAAACAAGAUACAACGGUGCUACUGAAACUCAGCGAGUGAGAAAUCCUGGUCCAACCAGUAGAUCCCACCAUGAGGUUAAGAAAAAAGGAAAAACCAGAUUGGUUUUCUAAAGCAGAUGAAAUAUGUUUCCCUAGUGAUUUUGGCAUUAGUGAUGAAGAUGAGCCUGAAGGAUCCUAUAAAGUACCAGGUGGUAGGAAGAGAAGGAAUAAAAAUUUGAAGGACAUGAUAUGGUUUAAUGGCAUACUUCCAGGACCAGUAGGACAAUUUUGUAAGGGAUUGUGCUUCACUAGUGUCUAUGAGUUCAGAAAUGCACUUAGGGAUUUCCACAUUAGGACUUUGAGGAUUUUUCAAUAUCAUAGAAAUGCCCCUAAUAGGAUUAUUGUUUGCUCUCGGAGAGAGCCCAGGGAUGUGACUUUUAUAUCGAUGCCUCUAAGUUAGCUCAUGAAAAAACUUUCUGCAUCAAGAAGUAUGAUAUGCUGCAUACUUGUAGAGCAUGUGCAGAGACCACAAAGGUUACUACAAAGUGAUUGUCCAGGUCAGUACAGGCAUCACUGAGAGACAUUAGAUCUCCUGUGGAUGCAUUAAUUAAAAAUACCAAGACUAAGUUUUCAAUGGAUGUGUCAAGAAGUGUGUCAUAUAGGGUAAGGAGGAAGGAUGUUGAUGUGGUGCAAGGUGACCACAAGCAAUAGUACUUGAGGCUUAGGGAUUAUCUUCAAGCAGUUCUUGAUACAAACCCUGGUAGCAAGUGUAUAGUAACAACAUUUGAAGAUCCAGAUAACCCAACACCUCCUAGAUUCAAGUAUAUGUUCAUCUGUUUAGUAGCUUCAAAGGAAGGUUUCCUUAAUGGUUGCAGGCCAUUUAUAUGUAAAUUUUGUUGAUUUUCUUGUUUCUAAAUUAUUUGCAAUGUUAUGGUUUGGAGCUAAUUUGUGACUGAAUCCAUGUCGUGAUGGAUGCUUCAUCAAGUUAACCACUGAACAGCAAAUUCUUGCAACCACAUGAAGGGAUGGCAACAACAACAUAUAUCUUAUAGCAUUUGGUGUGGUUGGCAAGGAAGAUAGUGACAGUUGUAAUUGGUUUUUAACUCAGUUGAGAUGUUGCAUUGGUAGUGGCAACAAAUUUGGAACAUACACCAUCAUAUCUGAUAGACAAAAGGUUACUAUUAAUUUUAUUGAUCACUUUUGUUUUAGUACUUUUAGGAAUUAUUUGUGUGUGAUCAUGUGUACUAAUAAGUUGUGAAUGCACAGGGCUUGCUUAAGGCAAUAAAUGACGUAUUCCCUAAUUCACCUCAAAGAUAUCGUCUUAGGCACAUAUAUGCAAAUUUUCAAUCAGCUGGGUUUAGAGGCCUGGAACUAAAGAAGUGUGUUAACAAGGCUAGCUACUCCUGCACCAAAAAUGGGCAUGAAUUAAGGAUGCCAGAGCUGAAAGUACAAUCUAAGAAAGCUUGGAAAUGGAUCAAAAAAAGUCUCUACUUGGGCUUGGUUUGCUAUGGAUCAUACUUGCAAAACAGAUCUAGUUGUCAAUAACCUUAGUGAAGUUUUCAACAAGAUGAUACUGGAUAUUAGGGCCAAGCCAAUAGGACAAUAUUUGAAGGGAUUAGGACCAAGCAGAUGAUCAAGAGGCAACAGACUAGGGAAAACUUACAGAUUAGCGGGUGGACAAUCGCACCUAACUAUUCAGAGAUUCUAGAAGAGAACAAGAAGUGUGCGAAGUAUUGUCAAGCUGACAGAGUUGGUCCAACAAUUUGAAAAGUUAGUAGCAAAAAAACAGUAUUGUGUGGACAUGGAAAAUUAUACAUGUGACUGCAAGAGAUGGAACAUGAUAGGUGUACCUUGCGGUCAUGCCAUAUCUGCAUUGACAAAGCAAAAGCUGCAUCCUGAGGACUAUGUCUUCAAGAAGCCACUAUACUUGGAGGCAUACAAAGAUAUUAUAUAUGAUGGAAAUAUGCCCUUGAGGCAAUAAUAAAAUGGUUAUUAUUAUAUUUCCAUAAUCAUGAUAAAGGUUUAUUAUUCAUGCUAGAAUUGUAUUGACCGAAAACUUAAAUACAUGUGUGGAUACAUAAACAAAUACCAUGUCCCUAGUGAGCCUCUACUAGACUAGCUCGUUGAUCAAAAGAUGGUUAAGGUUUCCUAACCAUAGACAUGAGUUGUCAUCUGAUAACGGGAUCACAUCAUUAGGAGAAUACAUGUUCAUUCAGUUUAUUGCUACUGCUUUCUUAAUGUCAAAUACAUGUUCCUACGACCAUGAGAUCAUCCAUCUGCCGGAUACCGGAGGAAUGCCUUGUGUGCUAUCAAACAUCACAACGUAACUGGGUGAUCGUAAAGAUGCUCUAGAGGUAUCUCCGAAGGUGCAUGUUGAGUUGGCGUGAAUCGAGAAUGGGAUUUGUCACUCCGUGUAUCAGAGAGGUAUCUCUGGGCCCUCUCGAUAAUACACAUCACAAGAAGCUUGCCAGCAAAGUGACUAAGGAGUUAGUUACGAAAUGAUGUUUUACAGAACGAGUAAAGAGACUUGCCGGUAACGAGAUCGAACUAGGUAUGGAGAUACCGACGAUCGAAUUUCGGGCAAGUAACAUACCGACAAACAAAGGGAACUAUGUAUGUUGUCGUAAAGGUUCGACCGAUAAAGACCUUCAUAGAAUAUGUAGGAACCAAUAUGGGCAUCCAGGUCCUGCUAUUGGUUAUUGACCGGAGAAGCGUCUCGGUCAUGUCUACAUGAUUCUCGAACCCGUAGGGUCCGCAUGCUUAACGUUCGUUGACGAUAUAGUAUUAUAUGAGUUAUGUGAGUUGGUGACCGAAUGUUGUUCGGAGUCCCGGAUGAGUCCACGGACAUGACGAGGAUCUCUGGAAUGGUCCGGAGGUAAAGAUCGAUAUAUAAGACGAUAGUAUUUGGUCAUCGGAAAGCUUUUGGAAUGUACCGGGUAUUUAUCGGAGUGCCGGAAGGGGUUCUGGGAGGCCAUCGGUAAGCGGUGGGCCUUAUGGGCCAGGGGGACAUACCAGCCCACAAGGGGCUGGCGCGCCCCUCCACCCCUACUCACGCACCAAGGGAGGGAGGGAAGGAAAGGGAAGGCGCCCUAAGGCAGCCAUCCCCCUCCCCCCCAUGUCCAUAUACGGAAGGGGGCGGCUAGGCAGGCCUCUAGGGCAGCCGCCGGCCGCUUGGGGCGCCCUAUGGCUGUCUCCUCUCCCUCCUCCACCUAUAUAUAUGUGAGGAGGGAAAGGGGCAUCACACGCCACGAUCCCCAAGCCGUGUGCGGCGCCCCUCUCCCUCUAGUUCAUCCUCGGUCAUAUUUUCAUAGUGCUCGGCGAAGCCCUGCAGAGAUAGUUGCAUCACCACCGUUACCACGCCGUCAUCCUGCCAGAACUCAUCUACUACUUCGCCCGUCUUGCCGUAUCAAGAAGGCGAGGACGUCAUCGAGCUGAACGUGUGCUGAACGCGGAGGUGCCGUAAGUUUUGUACUUGAUCGGGCAGAUCAUGAAGGUGUAUGAGUACAUCAACCGCGUUGAUAAAUGCUUCCACUCUACAGUCUACGAGGGUACGUAGACACACUCUCCCCUCUCGUAGCUAUGCAUCUCCAUGGAUAGAUCUUGCAUGUGCAUAGAAUUUUUUUUGUUUUCCAUGCAACGUUCCCCAACAGUGGUAUCAGUAUGAACAUCACCGCCCAUAAAUCCUUUGUGUUCUACUCGUGCAUAUCCUUUUUUCAUGCUAGAAUUGUAUUAGCCGGAAACUUAGUACAUGUGUGAAUACAUAGACAAAACAAAGUGUCCCUAGUAUGCCUCUACUUGACUAGCUCGUUAAUCAAAGAUGGUUAUGUUUCCUGACCAUAGACAUGUGUUGUCAUUUGAUGAACGAGAUCACGUCAUUAGAGCAUGAUGUGAUGGACAAGACCCAUCUGUUAGCUUAACAUAAUGAUCAUUAAGUUUUAUUGCUAUUUAUUUCUUCAUGACUUAUACAUGUUCCUCUGACUAUGAGAUUAUGCAACUCCUGAAUACCGGAGGAACACCUUGUGUGCUAUCAAACGACACAACAUAACUGGGUGAUUAUAAAGAUGCUCUAUAGGUGUCUCCAGUGUUUGUUGGGUUGGCAUAGAUCGAGAUUAGGAUUUUUCACUCCGUGUAUCAGAGAGGUAUCUCUAGGCCCUCUCGGUAAUGCUCAUCACUAUAAGCCUUGCAAUCAAUGUGACUAAUGAGUUAGUUGCGGGAUGAAGCAUUACGGAACGACUAAAGAGACUUGCCAUUAACGAGAUUGAACUAGGUAUGAUGAUACCGAUGAUCGAAUCUUGGGCAAGUAACAUACCGAUGACAAAGGGAACAACGUAUGUUGUUGUGCAGUUUGACCGAAAAGAUCUUCGUAGCAUAUGUAGGAACCAAUAUGAGCAUCCAGGUUCCGCUAUUGGUUAUUGAUCGUAGAUGUGUCUCAAUCAUGUCUACAUAGUUCUUGAACCAGUAGGGUCCACACGCUUAACGUUCGAUGACAAUUUGUAUUAUGAGUUAUGUGUUUUUGAUGACCGAAGUUUGUUCGCAGUCCCGGAUGAGAUCAUGGACAUGACGACACUACAAAAAAUACACUUUCGUGAUGAUACAUGUUUGUCAUAGUAGGUCAUGUUUUCUGUCAUGCAUGUACAUCCAUGACGAUUGUAUGACAGAAUCAAGAUAGUCAUACAUGUGCUGCCGUAGAAGUGUUCCAUGACAUUACCAAAAUUAUCAUCACGGAAGUGUCCACUUCCAUGACGAUAAAUCGCGCGUCAUAGAAGUGCUUUCGUCAAGGGUGACGGACACGUGGCAUCCACCGUAACGGCUCGCCGUUAAGCUAUCGAGUCCGGUUUUGGAUCCGAUAACCCGUUAACAGCCUCGACCAAUGGGGAUUUCCACAUGUAAAAUCAUCAUUGGCUGGAGGAAACACGUGUCGGCUCACUGUUGGGACAGAUGUCAUCCACUCAUUUGACCGAAGGAGCCUAUGAUACGUCGACACAUGGCACGACCCAACAGAGGCCCAUUCCUGUGAAAAGGCUGGCCCGUUUGACUUGGUCAAAAGGUGGCGGGCCGGCCCACGGAAAUCCUAUUAACGGCCUAUUCGCAUAUAGCCCAUUUACAGCCCGCUAACCUAGGGCCCGUUACCACCUAUCCGAAUUAGGCCCAGUAGCGUCAUCUGGGCCGUCCAAUAUAAUUCCAGCCCAUUUUAACUUCCGGCCCAUGUAUGGCCCAUGACGUCUUUCAGCCCAUAUGAGGCCCUUUGUAACUCUUGGCCCAUUAAUGACCCGUGGUGAAACUGGCCCAUAAUGAACAGUGUAUCACUUUAUACCCAUUAACGACCCAUUAUUCCGUUGGGCCGUUUCCAGUCCAUGUUAUCUUUCGGCCUUCUCAGGGCCCAUUUAUUCAUGGGCUCAUUUCCAGCAUUCGGUUACUUACGUCCCGUUACUGUAAUUUUCUACUUGUGGGCCAAAUUCAGCCCGUGGUUACAGUUGGCCUGUUUGUGGCCCGUUAAUACGUUGGGCCAUUUUCAUAGUGUCAUCAAAUACGGUCGAUUAACAAUGAUCCGUUAUGGUCGGCCCAUGAAUGGACAAUUCCAAUUCUAGCCCGUUUACGGCCAUAAUGUGGUCUGUUAUUGGCCCAUAUUUGGCCAAUCGAUCAUAUGACCCGUAGAAGGCCCAUUGUGUCUACGACCCAUAAAAGGCCCAUUGUUUCUACGCCCCGUAGAAGGCCCAUUAUUUCUACGGCCCAUAGAAGGCCCAUUGUUUCUACGGCCUGUAGGAGGCCCAGUGUCACUACAGUAAAUAUGUAGCCCAUGGUUAUUGUGGCCUAGUUUUAAAAAAAAUAGGUUAUUGCGGCCACUAGCAAACCGCGGAAAAAGAACUGCACUGACUACAAGCAAACAAAUAAACAAGACAACAAGGAAAUAAAUAAGCAAGUAACUUACACUAGGCUAUCACGGCUAUUACACAUAUUACAUCCACUGGGCAUCAAAGUUCGCCAUCAGUGCAAAUAUAGGGAACAAAGCAGCAUAUCGUAUACACUGGUUGUCAAAGUUGACGACCAGGCAGCAAAACAAGUCCAGAACUGAAACCACUUUAGAAAAUCUCAAGAAACAAUAUCCUGGGUACCCAUAAUGCUGGCAAGAUGCUUAGCAAGCUUAUUAACUUUCUCUUGUUGGCACUUAAAUCCUCCAGCCCUUGAUGUUGCACCAGAAAGUAUGCAUCUGAAUUCUGCAGGGACUUCCUCAGUCCUUCAACUUCCUGUUGCAGCACAUCUGAUCGAUGUCUUUCAACUUGAAGUUGAGACUCAAGAAGACGAACUGAUUCAGGCAACGAGUUUGAAGAGCUUGUGCCAGCAGUAGUGGCCAGUAACUUGAACACUACAUCAAGACAUGACUUUUAGGUUCUCUCAUUGUCGUCAAGAUAGUUUUUAUCAGCUUUCUUGGAGACCAACAGGGAUGUCUCACUAUCUUGAACCUUAUCUGUAUUACUUCCUUUACCAUUGCAUAACGGGGUACUGUUCUCCAAUAUUUCGUCUGCAUUCUAAAAGAGAAACAAGCAGACACAUCACAGGUUUACCAUGUUGUAUAUGAAACUCAUUUUGUUAAAUCAGUUCAGCAGUAAAGUGGACAGGAUAACAUCAUGAAACAAGCAUAUAUCUAUGUACCAUGGUCACUUUAUCGUCUAUAUCAUUCUAGUUUUUGUUGCCAAAUCAAGAUAGAAACACAGUUCAAAUAAUAUUCUAGUUGGGGCCAUGCUGUCUGGGAGGAGCUGGCACCUCAGUAACAGGAACUGCCGCUGCAAGACCAGGUGUCCAUGGUUAUUAAUCAACCAGAAGCUUCCGUCUCUGUUGAGAAAAUUGUGGUGGAGGAGCAACAUGCACUGCUUGAGCACGUUGAUGUUGAUCCCAAGCUGCCUCCUGUGGUGGUUGAGCGUGUUGAUGUUGUUGCAGAAAUCCCAGUUGAUCCGCUCUUUGAAGGCCAUAACAAGGUAGAGCCUGAUAUUUGCUAUUGAGCCUAUCCAGCCGAAUGAUGCUGCUGCAGUCCCUAUUGCAGAUCUAGCUCAGCAUCUUGCAAUCGUUCCCUACCAGCCUCCGGUCAUCCAACCUCAACAGCUGUUCAUUGGCAUGGUGCGUGUGCCUGAGGGCCUGCCUCUCCCUCCGAAGAUGAUCUGGAAGAGAUCUUUUAUCUCUCUUUUGCCUGAGUUUUAAGCUUUGGAAGUUCCUCGUCCGAUUUUUUGCAAUCCUUUGGGCCCAGUGAUUUACUCCAAGCGUUCAUGGAGCAUUGCUUUUGAUGCUGAUCUCUUGGUCACUACGCUCAUUUAAUCCGUCCAAGAGUCUCGUGAGGUAAUCACUUUGCCCAAUAGGCCUGUGGCUCGUGCUCUAUUCAGUGAUCAUGCUCCUAUUGUUGAUGAAAGCACCGAGGUCAGUUCGACUAUUUUUACUCCUGAAAGAGUUAAGACUCCGAAAGGUAAGGGCAGAAAGAAGGCGACUACUCCUAUGGUGGAAACUUCAGAGAGGCGUUGUACCAGGAGCUCUCCUAGGCAAGAUGGUUUUAAACAGGUGUUUGAAGAGCUGCCUCUGCAGCCCAGGAAGAAGAGGCCGAGAGCUAGGCCGGUCCCUUCCUCCCUCACGACCCAAUGCAAUAGCCCAGUGGACAAUUCAGCCCAGGAGCAUCCUCUACUCCCACCAGAGAUGCCCAUUGUAGUGCUUCAAAGUGCAGGCAUCGAACUGGAGAUGGCUCCUGCUCUGCUUACCAAGGAGAAGCUUAUGGCUGAACCUUCUGAUGAUUCACCCUCGGCUUCAAAUAAAUGAUGUGUCCUAUGCAUGAACUUAAUGGGUUUAGCAAGCCCUUUAAAUUUGCUUCUUAUCUUAGGACUGUAAUGUUUAUUGUGUUGCCUAUCUAUGGUGCUGGUGAACCAUAUAUUUUGUGGGAUUCUUUGGUCCUUUUGUGCAACACUAUGUGCUAUACUUAUUUCCUCCGAGCUUUGCUUGUUUAUUAUGAAUCUAAAUUCUAAGCGAAGUUGGAAGGUGCUCUGCUGGAAUGUGCGUGGCCUUAAUUCUAAAUUGUGUCAGUGUGCAGUCAGGGAGAAGAUCAAUGAGAGUCUAUGUUUUGUUGUUUGUCUACAAGAAACAAAGCUAUCUGAAUGUGAUCGUCGUCUUAUUAAAAGCAUCUGCCCUCCUAGAUUUGAUUAGUUCAUUGAGGCUCCCUCUAGAGGGGCCUCGGGUGGUUUGCUUAUUGCUUGUUGAUCUGACUACUUUUCUGGGGUCCUAGUGGAGGUUAAACCAUUUUCCAUUGUGGUUAACUUCACUUCUGUUCAUAACAGUGAUACCUGGACUCUGGUAAAUGUUUAUGGCCCCAGUCAAGGGGAAUUGAGAGAUGAAUUUGUGCAGUGGUUGUAUAACUUGAAUAUUGACCCUCAAACAAAUUGGAUGACUUUGGGGGAUUUCAAUUUCAUUCGUUCUCUGGAUAACAGAAACUUGCCAGGGGGGGAUGUAAAUGACAUGCUUAUCUUCAAUGAAAUUAUAGGCCAUUUGGGUCUGCUUGAGUUACCAAUUAAAGGUAGGAAAUACACCUGGUCAAACAUGCAAGACUCACCCCUAUUGGAGCAAUUAGACUGGAUUUUCACAUCAGCUAAUUGGAUUGAUUCUUAUCCAAUGACACAAGUUGUUCCUCUGGCAAGAACUACUUCUGAUCAUGUUCCAUGCUUGGUUUACAUCUCAACUUUGAUCCCAAAAGCUCACAUCUUCAGGUUUGAGAACUUAUGGACUGAGUGGCCUGGCUUCUUGGACUGUGUGCAGCAGUCUUGGUCCCAACCCUCCUCAAAGCACCAUAUCACUGCUGUAAUUUCUAAUAAGUUGAAGUCCCUGAGAAAGGCGCUAAAGAAUUGGCAAAAAGGGUAUUUCACACAUCAAAAAUCUGAUUGACAAAUGCAAUUGGGUUAUCUGCUGGAUUGAUGGUCUGGAGGACUCUAGACCUUUAUUUAGACAGGAAUUCAACUUUAGGAAGCUGGUGAAAUUGCACCAUGCUCAUCUUGUGCACUUGCAAUGUCUUUACUGGAAGAAGAGAUGCACUAUCAAAUAUAUCAAGGUUGGGGAAGAAAACUCAAAAUUCUUCCAAGCUAUGGCUUCUGAGAGGCACAAAAGAAACUCAAUUGCCUCUUUGACCCUGGGAGAUGGUUCUGUCACCUCUCAACAUGAUGUCAUUGCUGAGGCCUUCCUCUCUACUUUCAAGGAAAGAAUUGGUAAGGCAAAGGGCAUCAAUAUGGGUCUUGAUUUGGAUAAUCUAUUACCAAGGGUUUCUGGCCUGGAUGUGCUUGUGAAACCUUUUUGGAAAGGAGGAAAUUGAGCAUGUUGUGAAGGAAAUGCCAGUGGAUAAAUCUCCUGGGCCUGAUGGGUUCAAUGGACUCUUCUUUAAGAAGUGCUGGCACAUUAUUUCUAAUGAGUUCAUCACUUUGGCACAUGAAUUUCAUGUAGGGAGAGCUAAGCUUGAGAACAUUAAUGAUUCUUAUAUUGUGUUGGUACCUAAAUCAAAUGUACCAGAGGGGGUGGGUGAUUACAGACCCAUAUCCCUUACUAGCUUUGGACUUAAAUUGUUGACCAAAAUGGCUGCCAACAGGUUUCAACAGGAAAUUUUGAGGUGCAUUCAUAAGAACUAGUAUGGGUUCAUUAAAACCAGAACUAUUCAGGACUCCCUGGCCUGGAGUUUUGAAUAUAUUCACCAAUGCAAGCAAUCUAAGAGGCCCAUAAUUCUCUUUAAGCUACACUUUGAGAAGGCAUUUGACUCUAUUGAGCAUGAGGCUAUUCUGUCUAUCUUGCAAGCCAAGGGUUUCCCUCAGAAAUGGAUUUCUUGGGUUAAGGAAUUGCUUUCUUCUGGAACUUCUUCUGUGCUAGUUAAUGGGAUUCCUGGCAGGCACUUCAAAUGUAAAUGUGGGGUCAGACAAGGAGAUCCUUUAUCUCCUUUGUUAUUUUUAUUGCAGUUGAUAUCCUCCCGUCAAUGCUCAAUAACAUGGUCCAAAGGGGUCUUCUCUCUUUGCCUAUUCCCUCUCAUGACCCUGAUUUCCCAGUGGUGCAAUAUGCCGAUGACACUAUUUUGUUCAUCCCUGCCCAGAGGGAACAAUUGGUGGUGCUCAAGGAGGCCCUAAUGAUCUUUUCUCAAUCCACCGGGAUGAAAAUAAAUUUUCAUAAAUCCUCUAUGAUUCCAAUCAAUGUGGACAGUAGACUUGCUGAGGAUCUGGCUGGUGUUCUUGGCUGCAAAAUUGGGACUAUGCCUUUUACUUAUCUUGGGCUUCCUUUGGGUACUACAAGGCCCAAGAUCAUUGAUUUCAUGCCUUUGGUGGAAUGCAUGAAGAGAAGGUUGCAUGCCAGUUCUUGGUUUUUGCCCCAGGGAGGGAGAUUGCAACUUCUAAAUUCUGUAAUGUCUUCUAUGCCAAUCUUCUUCCUUUGCAGCCUACAAAUCCCUCCUGGUAUUUUGAAACAGUUAGAAAGGAUUCAUAGGCAAUGUUUAUGGAGGAAAUAUGGUCAGGACUCUGGGUAGUCUUAGCUGCAUGGCCCCUGGUUUGUAGGCCCAAAAAUAAAGGGGGUCUGGGAAUUUUGAAUUUCAGUGUGCAAAAUGAUGCCUUAAUGCUUAAACACCUGCACAAGUUUUAUAACAAGGACAUUCCAUGGGUGAAUCUUAUAUGGAACUCUUAUUAUUAUGAUAGAGUGCCCCAUGACACAACCUUGUGUGGUUCCUUUUGGUAGAGAGAUGUAUCGAAGCUUAUGGACAAAUUCAGGGCUGUCAUUGUUGUUCAAGUUAACAGUCGGGAUACUGCUUUAUUUUGGAAGGAUUACUGGGCUGGUUCCAACAAUUUGCUGCUCCAGGAUAAAUUUAAGAGGCUCUUCUCCUACUGCUUGGACCAACAUGUUUUAGUACAUCAAGUGCUCAAUACUGACAACCUUUUGGGACUCUUCCAAUUGCCUCUAUCUAAGCAGGCUCAUGUGGAGUUUCAAAGCCUUUCUCAAGGCCUUGAGGGAUUUGUUGGGGAUAGAUUGCUGCUUGACAGCUGGUAUUGGAAUGAUAGCAAGAGGAGUCAAUACACUGCCAAAAAAUACUACGAUCUUGUCCAAAAGCCCAUUGUGGCAAAUCCUACUCUGAAUUGGAUAUGGAAAAGCUGCUGCACUAUGUCCAUUAAAAUGUUUGCAUGGUUGGUGAUUAUGGAUAGAGUCAACACCAAAUACAUGAUCCAGAGAAGACAUUCGAGGAUUGAGGAUGGCCCUAAAUGUGUUCGUUGCAGAGCUGGCUCCCUGGAAGACAGAAAUCAUCUGUUCUUUCAAUGUAACUUCAGUAGUAGAGUUUGGAACUUCCUCCAAAUUUGUUGGUCUUCUAGUUCUGAUAUGGUGGACAUUGCUGUUCAGGCCAGAGAGGAGUUUGCUAAAGCUUUCUUUGCUGAAGUGGUCUUCUUAGCAUGGUGGAAUAUCUAGAUGGUCAGAAAUGACAAGAUCUUCAGGAAGAUAGCACCAUCUUUUAGUAGAUGGAAGGAUGGGUUCAUUCAUGAUAUUUGUCUCGUGACCCAUAGGAUAAAAUCAAGGCACAAGGAGGAACUUCUUCACUAGAUAGCUUUCCUGCCUCCGUGAGGCUCCUUUUUGCUUUCCUUCUUUUGUAGUUUAGAUUAGUCUAGCCUUUCCUUUUGUUCUGCUUCCACUGCUCGUGCAACUGUAAUUAUGACUUGAGUUCUUCUUUUUAUUAAUAAAUUAUAGUGGGGCCAAGCCCUGCAGUUCCCAUGGUAAGAAAAAUAGAUUUGUUGAAGACAAAGCAGAAUAGACAGAAUAUAAGUGUGGGAAACUAUAGAGCAAUAACAACACCUAUAAUGUGCAUGACAUGAGAACAUAACUGUUUAUUCAAUUGAAACUGAAAUCAACAUAGAGCAAGUUACAACAGCAAACCAGCUAAAGAAACAUGUUUAAAACAUACCUGUUGCGCCAUUGGAGUUUCAAUUCCAUCCUUCAAAUUUGAAAAUAGUUGGUAUGAGUAAAUAAAGUGAUGCAAGAGCAAAGGAGUAUGAACCAUAGCUACAGAACCUGACCUGAGAACAAAUCUUCUUCUCCUUUAAGCGUUGAGUUGGGAUUCAGAAUGGUGGUCCUCGUGUUUUGGGCACUGCAGUUGCCUUACUAAAUGCUCGUGUUUGGGUGCUCUGUGGUGGAGACGGUGCUGUGUCAACUAGAACUGGGUUACUAUCUGCUGGGGUUGGGGUUAGAAGGGGUGUAGCUGGUUCUCUGUCCAACUGGGUAGGGGUACAAUCUGUGAGAGUCUGAGUUAUGUGUGGUGGGGCUGGUUCUUGGGCAAGUACAAUCGUGGUUCUAUCUGCAUCAACUGGUAGCACUAUCUUUUCUGAAGACCGUGUUGUUACUCCCUUAGAUACUGCCAUCACCCUCUCCAAUUCAAAUGGCUGAUAAACAAGAAAAGUAAUUGAAUGUACAUACAUUGUAUGAUAGACAUGUGCAAUGGAUAGUGGGGAAUAAAAGAGGGCAUGAAAUAAUUCACAUUUCUGUUGUCUAACCAAACAGGAUAGCAUGACACAAUUUCACAUAUAUGAUGGCUAACUAAACAGGAUAGCAUGACACAAUUUCACAUUAUGAUGGCUAACUAAAAAAGAUGGAAAGACAUAGUUCAAAAUAUGAUGACUAUGUAAACAAGGAUGACAUGAUAUAACUAUAUAAUGUGUUUAUUAAAUAGGUUGGUAUGCCAUAAUUCACAUACAUGCCGCCUAUGGAAACAUGAUAGCAUGAUAUAAUUGACGGAUAGAAUGACAUAAUUCGAAAUAUGAUGACUGUAAACACUAAACAGGAUGAGAUGAUAUAACUAUAUGAUGUCUUUAUUAAAUGGGUUGCCAUGCCAUAAUUCAGAUAGAUGCUGUGUAUGUAAACAUGAUGGCAUGAUAUAAUUCAAAUAUAUGAUUUAUAUAGUAAGCAAGUAAGCAGAUGACAAUCCAUAUAUGAUGUAAAAACUAAGUAAUGCAAGACAACAUGCAUGACAUGGGUAAUAUAACCCUGUCAAGUUUGAGCACAGACCUCAGGGGGGAAAUAGGGUUGGUCAUCAGUCUCUGAAUCCUCCUCUGAGGAGCUCUCUGUAACCAGCAAGAUGUCUGCUUCAGCAGGUAGCAUUGUCUACUCUGAAUACCUUGUUUUCACUCCAGAUACUUCCAUCACCACUUCAAAUGGCUGAUGCACAAGAAGAGUAGUUGAAUAUACAAACAUUGUUGACAAAUGGAACACGUAAUACAAAAAAAUGAUAGCAUGAUAUAAUUCAGAUACAUGAUGACUGGCUAAACAGCAUGGCAUUGCAUAAUUCACAUAUAUAAUGCCUUUUCAAUAAGAUAGUAUUGCAUAAUUCACAUAUAUAAUGUCUUGCAACAAGGUGGCAAUGCAUAAUUCACAUAUAUGGUAAUUAGACACUAAACAAGUGUCAUUCACACAAAGCAUGUCUAAACUAAUCAAAUGACAUAGCAAUGCAAGACAUCAUACGCACGGUAUGAGCAACAUAACCCUGCCAACUUAGAGCAUACACCUCGGGGGGGGGGGGAUAGGACUGGUCAUCUGUCUCUGAAUCCUCCUCUGAGGAGCUAUCCUUAACCAGCGAGAUAUGCGCUUCGUCAGAUAGCAUAGUCUGCUCUGAAGACCUUGGUUUCACUCCAGAAUUUUCCAUCACCGUGUCAAAUGGUUGAUGCACACGAAGAGUAGUUGAAUGUACUAACAUUGUUGACAAAUGUAAUACGUAACGAAAAAAAGGAUGGCCUGAUAUAAUUCACAUAUAAGAUGACUGGCUAAGCAGGAUGGCAUUGCAAAAUUCACAUAUAUAAUGCCUGGCUAAACAAGAUGGUGUUGCAUAAUUCACAUAAACGAUGAAUAAACUAAACAGAUGUCAUUCACACAAAGCAUGUCUAAACUAAGCAGAUGACAUAUUUGAUGUAUAAAGUAAGCAAUGCAAGGCACCAUAUGCAUGAUAUCACCAACAUCAGCAUGCCAAGUGAGAGCGAAGACCUCAGGGGGUAAAUAGGAGUGGUCUUCUCCUUCUGAAUCCCCCUCAGAAUAGAUAUCUUCCUCUCGACUACAAUCCGAAAUGGGUGGAGGGGGGCUGCCUUUGCGCCUACCAUCAAGCGAUGUCUGCAUGAAAGUUUAUUGCCACCCAAGGCUCGUCUCUUUUGCUCUACAUGUUCAGUUCCAUUGUGUACAAUAACUGACAUGCAUAGGUAUAAAACAUAGUGCGAUUAUGUAAGGAGUGCAUGUAGAUAUCCAGAGUGAUGGUAGCAACAUGUGGAUAGAACCAAAACCAAUGAUAGCAGGCAGAUGAUGGCUUCAGUUAAAAAAUACAGAUAAUGGCUUCUUUACUGUUUGUUUCCCACCCAACAUGAAACUCAUAGUAGACACCAGAGAUUAACCAGAUAGUAGAUAGAUACUAUUGAUUGCGGCCCCGAUAUGUACCCCACAACCAUUUAAAAACUCAAGUUUGACCAUUAGUUUGGAGCUGACUUAGAGUCUAUUCAGUGAACAGGACUUUAAAGUAGCAUGUAAUAUUAAGUAAUGCAUAAUGUAAGCAGACACGAAAGAGUGCAACCUCUCUUGCGGACUUGUGUAGUCCUCGAGGUCAUCUGUUCGGUUGAUGAUGGUAAUGCAGUUGUCAUGGCUGCCGGCGGCGGAGAAGAAGAUCUGAGGUGGCGAAAGGCAGUCUGGAGGUCGGAUCCUUGCUAUGCUAGAGCCUUCUGUCGGUGGAGCAGCUGAGCUGGGGUGGACGAUGGUGCAGUAGGAGCGGGACAAACCACGCAAGGUUUUUUUGACAACUAUCUGUAAGAGAAGUAAUUCUGUAAGGGCUCAUUUGAAUUGGAGGAUUCUAACACCGCAGGGAUAGGAAAUACACUAUAAUAGGAUAGGAAUGAACGUGCAAAAUAGAGAAUUUAAAAACACAUGAUUUCUGCCAAUCUGGGUGUUUGGUUCAGAGGAUGCAAAGAAGCAAGGCGAGAUUAAGUCAAACCAUAAGAAAAUGUACAGUUAUAAUGCUAUUAUGCUACUAUCUCUUAGUCUUGUGCUUCAUGAAUAGGAAUUUGAAAAGAAGGACAAGUGGAUAUUAAAAUUCCUAUGGUAUUUAUUUCAAGGAGACACUAAAAGAACAAAUCCUACAGUUUUCCUUUGCUCCAUUCCUUUGAACCAAAUGCAUGAAUAGUAGUACCAUAGGAAACUUUCCAAUUCCUAUGUUUUUCCUUCACUUUUCCUCUCAAGCACUAGCGAUUCUAGUAGGCAGGCUUGAGAAAGGAAAAGCCUACACUCAAAAAAUGUUUUUGUGCUACUUCUACUACUUUGGACCCAGGCCACUGCCCUACUAGCUCAACUCCCAGGCCCAUCGACAAAUGCACAGCUCAAACGCGCAGAGAUAAAUAAUGAUGGCGUUCAAGAGAGUCCAUCAUGGAUAGCUAAGUUACCUGGUACCUCACUGCUUGUCAUAUAGUAGGAGAAACUAAUUGUAUUUCACGUUACUGUGUGUGCUCAAUGGACAAUAUAUAUAACAUGUAGAGUAAAAAAGAGAUGCAACAAUUGUACAACCUCUUUGGAGAAGCCAUGUCGAUCUUAGUGUUAUUGGGUUGGUCGGUGAGGAUGAUCCGGCUGACUUGGCUGUCGGAGGGGGGGGGGGGAAGAAGAUCUUAGGCAUCUUGAGAUGGAGCCCGGGGUACUCCUCCACUGUGAUGGAGGGUUUCGUCGUUGGAGCAGCUCUGGUGAGUUGUACGACGCCGAGGCUGAAGUAGGACAAGAGAGACAACGUUAACCUGAGUGGAAUUCUAAUAGCAUGUCCAAUAGAUGACGUAAAAUACAUAACCACAAAGUGCUAGAUGUAAAAUACAUCAUCCGCUCAUCUCUGAACUUAACUGUCGAAACUGAAUUUAACUGUCAAAACUGAACUUAGCUGUCGAAACUGAAUUUUGCUGUCGAAACUGAAUUUUAUUGUCGAAACUGAACGCACUAGAGGUGAGGCUACACGUCAGUCGACUGACUUUUUCAUCUCUGGCCAAUCGAUUUUCCAGCCGUUGGAUAUGAAAUCAAGGGCCUCCAACUCAUCUUCAAUCUCCACCCCCUGAGCCACCAGCCACCACCGGCCAAACAGCCGCCCCCCGCCGCCCGCGGCCGAUGGUGCGCUNNNNNNNNNNNNNNNNNNNNNNNNNNNNNNNNNNNNNNNNNNNNNNNNNNNNNNNNNNNNNNNNNNNNNNNNNNNNNNNNNNNNNNNNNNNNNNNNNNNNNNNNNNNNNNNNNNNNNNNNNNNNNNNNNNNNNNNNNNNNNNNNNNNNNNNNNNNNNNNNNNNNNNNNNNNNNNNNNNNNNNNNNNNNNNNNNNNNNNNNNNNNNNNNNNNNNNNNNNNNNNNNNNNNNNNNNNNNNNNNNNNNNNNNNNNNNNNNNNNNNNNNNNNNNNNNNNNNNNNNNNNNNNNNNNNNNNNNNNNNNNNNNNNNNNNNNNNNNNNNNNNNNNNNNNNNNNNNNNNNNNNNNNNNNNNNNNNNNNNNNNNNNNNNNNNNNNNNNNNNNNNNNNNNNNNNNNNNNNNNNNNNNNNNNNNNNNNNNNNNNNNNNNNNNNNNNNNNNNNNNNNNNNNNNNNNNNNNNNNNNNNNNNNNNNNNCACCACCACCAGCGACCACUGCCCCCACCCUGAACCCUAAGAUAGAUAGCGAGGUACCUCUCCAGCGAGCCCCCCUCCCUGUUGCGGCUGGUUCUUCCUUAACUCCGGCGAGCCCCCCCUAAAAAUCGACUGACCCAAAAGUCGAUUCAGUCGACUGAAGUGUAGCUAAAUCGGAGCAGCAUCGCAAGCAAGAGUAAGAGCGAGAGCAGCAACAAGAGCAAGAGCAAGAGCAGACCAGGUAGGGGACCAAGGCAAGAGCAGAGCAGCAUCGCAAGUGAGAGCUAAAGCAUCAACAACUCCUACUGAUGUGGACGUUGCUGCCGAGGGAGCGAUGCCAUGGAGGAAGUGGCCGGUGAUGCUGCCGUGGAUGGAGCCGCGCCGUGUCGGCUCAGGACCGAGUGCCGACAACACCAUGAGAUCGAAUCAAGAAGAAAAUGUGGCGAUUAGUGUACAACCUCUUUGGUGGCGCUGAUUAGGCCCCAGCUUCAUCCGAGGAAACGAUGAUGAUGCUGCUCCUCUGGUGGUGCAGGUGAAGACAACGGUGUGGGAAUGGAGGUGGCACGAAAGACGAGGGGAAUGUCGGGGCAGCUCCUUGGAGGUGGAGGACGGGGUAGCUGAACCGGUGGGAGGACGAGAUCGAUGAUGGAUCCUCAUCCGGUACGAUGGAUGAGGGAUGUCGAGGUGUUGCUAUGGAUGACAUCAUCGGGGAAGAGGCUUCGGCUGGGUGGCAGAUGGAGGAGGGUGUGGGGCUUCAUGGGUUUUCAUGGCCUCGGUGUAUGAAUAGGUGGGCGGAUGGGAUGGGAGUGGGGAAUCAUGGCUUAGGGACGCGCUUGUCCGAAAUGUGAGGUAAGUUACAAAAGUACCCCCACCAAUUUGAGGCGGUUCUUUCAGUUCAGGGGUAUCACAGGCAUUUCACGUGUCGGAAUUUCACAGGAGGUGGGAGUUUUCACGCGCGUUGUAAUUUUGGAAUAGCAAGGGGCAGGUUGAGAUGGAGGGAGUUGUCGGAGCACAACGAGACAAAGAUAUAUCUUAAAUAUUUCGGGGUAACAAGGCACGGGUUGAAAUUUUCGGACAAGCCUAAUGUGUACUGUACCAAAUCAAUUCACACUUCCAUCGAUGAAAAAACAAAAAGAAAUCAAUUCGCAGCACACAAGAGAGUCUAGUCCUGUGUACUGUACCAAAUCAAUUCGCACUACAAAUGUCAUUCAAAACUUUGAAUUCAUGUUAUGUUCAAUUAAAAUAUUUCGCUACGUGUAUAAUGCAUGCAACCUACUACUCAAAUGAAUGUUUUAGUGCAUUCCAAACGUAUAUACUACCGCUUCAAUAUGAACUAAAUUUGAAUUCAUUUCUCUAUUUGAAUAAGAUCUACAAUAAUGAUUGUUGUGAAGUCAAACCAUUUGAAUUUGUUUCUCUAUUUUAAUAAGAUCUACAAUCAUCAUUAUUGUCAAGUUAAACCAUCAUUUGUGCAUUAUCUUCACAGCACACCACAUGAUUACCCUCGAGUUAGAUAUGAACUAUGUGUAUUAUAUGAACUCGAACUCGAUUUUUUGAAUCCACUUUAUGUUGAUUUCAAAUCAUAGUACAUUUCAAGCUCUAGCUAUACCUUCAUAAUCUAAACCAUGUCUCGUAUGUAUAAUGUGUUUAUCACAUAAUGUAUGGUGCCCCGCCCCCUACGCCUACAAGUAUUUAGAUGUGAGUUGCAAACACCACACAUUACCACAAAUUCAAAUAAAAUGUGAGAUUGUUUGAUAUAUAAUAUUGUUUAGAUUGUUUGAUAUUUAGUUUUAAGCUGCAAACGCCACACAUUAUCACAAAUUCAAAUAAAAAUGUGAGAUUGUUCGAUGUAUAGUAUGGUUUAGAUCGUUCAACAUUUAGUUGCGAGUUGCAAACACCAUGCAUUAUCACAUUAUGGUAUAACAUGUGCAAAACCACAACACGCGUAUCACCGCUAUAUUCAUGCAUGCAUAUGUUUAUAACACUAUGAUCUCCUAUUCAAAUAUAUGAAUCCACUUUCAUAUCAAAUUAUGAUCUUUGUUAGUCUCUUACACCCACACAAUCCUCUAACCUUUGUAGUUAUCACUAACUUUCUCUCGUGCAUGCACACGCCCUCCUCGCCCCCUCCCUCAGCAUUCUAUCCAUCGCGCACAUUCAAUUUUUUUCUUUAGGUCAUUCUCCCACAGUCUUCACAAACUCCUUUCCGACACACAUUGAUCGAUAAACCUCUCCAGCAGUCUGCCUACAACAUACACACACACCUCUCAUCUCCUCCUUUCUGUGUCCAUGCCUCGUGUCUCUCAUACGGUCCCACACACGUGUAAACUCUUGCCCCCUCUUUUCAUCGAUCUCACAACCACACACUCCUCCCCCUAUCUAGCUAGUAGCUCAGCCUCUUGCACCACCUCCUAGCUCCAUUCUCUCUGUCUAUCCGUCUCGCUGGGCCUUAUUUGCCUCUAACAAAUGGAUGUACAACGACCGAUCUCCCUCUAUACAUAUAGCUAGCUAGGUCCUUAUAACUCAUUUUCCCCAUGCAUCGAUCGAUCUACCUCAUUAGUUAUGUCUCUCCCUUCCUCCGACAAACAACAAUUGAUCUGCCGAUCUAGGUAGGUUUUCUUACCAAACACAUGGUUCCCCUUCAUCAUCCAUUCAUGCGUCCCGACAGAUCUAUCACGCACAUGCACACAUAGAAACACAUCCCCACUCUUAUUGAUAGUAUUGCAGUUCUACCCUCAGUUUGUCUAGUAGGCCUCUCCCACCAUCUUCGAGAAGCAACUCCAUCACCCAUCCAGCACUCUACCCCUCUCCCUCCCUCUCUCUCCUCUCUCGCUGUCCCAUCCUAUUUCCCGUCCUUCAGUUAUGUAUGGAUGUCGAUCGAUCUCCCUCAAGACAUAGUUGGGUCUCUCCUUCUCAACACAUAUACGAGUCGUUCUAGCUCUCUAGUUAGGCCUCUGCCUCCCCCUCCCCCACCCCCCACACACAGAUACAUCAAGCACUCUAGUCAUGUCUCCCUGCCACACACAAACUUGACAUGUGCCCUCUGACGUUCCGGUAGGUCAGUCGCCUUAUAUCUUUGACUUGCACACACACAAUUUCGAUGGCUCUCUUCAUCGAUCUCGCACCCACCCACUUGAUCCUCUCUUCGACUCUAUCGAUAUCUAUUACCCCUCCCUCUCUUCUCAUGGAUCACUCGACCCUCUAUAUAUGAUAUGGAUAGGCCUCCAUUUCACACACAUUGCAUGCAAUUUUUUUUGAGAUGUCAUUGACACAUAUUCCCACAAAUACAUUCAUGAAAUCACACCCCCAAACAAAAAACACUCAGGAACACACACGCCAUCUGUCUAGGUUUGUAUCUCUCUCUCACACACACACGUAGGUGUGGGACGUGCACGAAGAGAAGAGGUGCACACACGGCACACGUAAUCCCGUCUCUUUCCCAACCACACCCACGCGGGUACACGGUGGAGCUCAUUUCUGUAUGAAAAGGCAGCCCACGUGGUAAUUUGACAUGUGUACUGGUUGUCCACACUACAAAAAAAUACACUUUCAUGAUGAUACAUGUUUGUCACAGUAGGUCGCGUUUUUGUUCAUGCAUGUACAUCCAUGACGAUUUUAUGACAGAAUCAAGAUAGUCAUAUCUGUGCUGUCGUAGAAGUGUUCCAUGACAUUACCAAAAUUAUCAUCACGGAAGUGUCCACUUCCAUGACGAUAAAUCGCGCGUCAUAGAAGUGCUUUCAUCAAGGGUGACCGACACGUGGAAUCCACCGUAACGGGACACCGUUAACCGCCGUUAACCUAUCGGGUCCAGUUUUUGGAUCCGAUAACCCGCUAACAGCCACGACCAAUGCCGAUUUUCCACGUGUAAAAUUCUCAUUGGCUGACGGAUCCACGCGUCAGCUCGGCGUUGGCACAGCUGUCACUCAUCCAACGGUCGAGAUGGGCCUAUGAUAUGUUGACACGUGGACCGACCCAAAACUGGCCCAUAAAGUGUAAAUGGGCCGGCCCAACCAAAGGCCCAUAAGAUUUAGCGGACCAUAAUGGGCCGACCCAGCUAAAGGCCCACAAGAUUUUGCAGACCAUAAUGGGCCGGCCCAGCUAAAGGCCCACAAAAUUUAGCGGACCAUAAUGGGCCGGCGCAGCUAAAGGCCCACAAGAUUUUGCAGACCAUAAUGGGUCGGCCCAGCUAAAGGCCCACAAGAUUUAGCGGACCACAAUGGGCCAGCCCAGCUAAUGGCCCACAAGAUUUUGCAGACCAUAAUGGGCCGGACUAGCUAAAGGCCCAACAUUCUCUGUCAAAUCGGCUCGUCAACAGCCCGUCAUAAACUUGUCAUCAACACGGCCCAUGGUCACUUCUGGCCCAUUAACAGUCCGCUAAGUAAUUGGGCCGAAUUACGGCCCGGUGUAUUUCUGACCUGUUAAAGGUCCUGCUUCAUUUCGGCCCAUUUACAGGCCAUCAAAACUUUCUGCCCAUAAACGACCGUGAAGGAUUUGGGUCAUAUUCGGCCAUGUCUGACAUUCGGCCUGUUAGAGGCCCACUAUAGAUUUGGGCCACUUUCGGUCUGUUUUCAUUUUCGGCCUGUUAAUGCCGGACGAAAACCAUGGGCCAUAUGUGGCCCAACGUCAUAUCGGGACCAUUAACGGCCCAUAUAAAAAUGACGAUAAUCUAGCCCGACCAAAGUUCCGGCCUGUUAAAGGCCCGUGUAUUAGGUCGGCGCAUUUACGGCCCGUCCGAAUUUCGGCCUGUCAAAGAUCCGCAUCGUAAAUGGGCCACCAUUUUGGCCUGCUAAGACCAGUGGGUUAUUUGGAACAAUUAGGGCCCAAUCUCACUUUCAAUCUAUUAAAGGCCCAUGUUCUUUAUGGGCUCGAGAUAUUUACACCUGUAAAGGGCCUAUUUUUACUGAGGGCCCAAAUUAUGUUUAGGCCUGUUAAAGGCCCACUAUGGGCAUAGGCCUACCAGAAAAAUAUGAAAGCUUAUGCUAAUUUAGGCCCAGAUAUUUUUAGUGGGCUACAUGCCAAUUUAGGCCCGUAAUCGUUUUUAGCCCAAUUGGAGUGGGCCCGACGAACGUUGGCAUGUUGGGCUCCUAUGAAGCUUUCGGCCGAAUACAUUACUAAGAUAAACCUACACUAUACAAAAAUAGUGUCGUAAUUACUGCAGCCUAUGGUAGCAUCAUAAAUGUUGUAUCACAACAAAAUAAAUUCCAACCAUACAACAAAAGGCCUGUUGGCAUAAAGUUUACAGUCCUUCCAGAUAAAAGCACCAUCAGAUGUAUAGAGGCACAUAUCAUUUGACCUGAGUGCUAAUGUUUCAGGCUCUAGAAUCUGAUGGAGCAGCACGAUCUUCACCUUUUUUCCGCCAUUGCUCUUGAACAACGAAGCGAAUGUCUGAUAGUCUGGUUUCAAAACCAUUCAUAUCUUGAUGGCAUUUGUCAACCACUAUUCUUGUUUUCGAAACAACGUCCAUUAGGGAUUGGACUUGUGUCUGGAGCACAGAUAUAUCACUCUGUCUAGCAGGAAGAUUUUGUUCAGUAGGCAAUUUGGACGAGGUUACCUUGACAACCAACCCAGAAUUACGCAGGAAGGUGCUUUUUGCACUGCUAGUGGAGAGAUACUGAUGCACUGUAGCAAGAGGUGACAUUGUGCCUGUGGUAGCCUCGCCAUCUUCAGGUGGUUGUGGCUGUUCAAUCAUUUGUUCCAUAGCUUCCUGAAAGUUUGAACUUGUAGAUUAGUGUACUAGAUAAGUUACUAAUGAGACAAAAACAAACAAAGUAGGUUAAACAUUUAUACAUAACUUAUUUUGGUGAACUACUGUAAUACAUUAGCAUGUAUCGUAGUGCCAACUACAUAAUAAAAUCACUUUUGGAACAUAUGUCCAUGUAGCAUGCCUACUGUAUUGUCUAUUUCCUCACAUUCGUUGACAUCUAAGUAUAAAGAGACAUGGUUUAAAGUUGGAUGAACAUAGUAUGCCAUCAUUCAUAUCAUGGGCAAACAGAUAUAAAACAAACAUGCCAUGUAAGGUGAAAUGAUACGUUAAUACAACUGUGUAUAAAAGUGAACAGAGUAACUGACAUUGGCUGCAAACCAAGUAGUUAAAUGAACACAUCACAGUACCAAUCAGUUCAAAGGCAGGAGGAGUAAGGACUUACAACAGCGGCUUGAACUGGUGUGCUCAUGCCCUUCAUCUUGCUGGUGUGGCAAUCCUUGAAGAUUUGCACUGCAUUCGGUUCAGGUUCUUUUUGGUCACCACAGGCUUUCCUCUGUAUUUGGAACAAGUCAAUAUAGAUACGAUAAUAUGGCACAAAAAAGAAGGAAGUAGCAGCUAUUUACAAGAGCCUCGUAGUGUGCAAUAUAGCUACGAGAUCCUGUUGUCUGUUGGAAUUUCACUUGAGAACGGUUGGUUUUGUUCUGCAAACAGUUAGCCUAGAACAAGAUACACUUGUAAGGUACAUACAUAAAUACAAGUUCAAUAUGUGGUCUGAUCAAAUAUAUAUAGCCUAACUGAUACUUUGGAUCAGACCAGUGUUUAACAAGGGCUGUCCAGUCUUCAUCUGUAAUAUAUUCCACUGGAGAUGUUUGGGCGAUUUCAUUGUUAGCCUUGCCUUCAGAGUGAGAUUUUCUAAGGUGGUACUGAUACUGUCACAGAGCAGACUGAAAAACAUGAGUGCAUGCUUGUUUAGUUGCAUCAUCUUUCGGAUCCAACUUGAACCUCAUCUGUUGAAAAAAAAAUGUGAGUCUUAUUAGGAGGAAGCUAGAAAUUAUGGGACAGAGCAAGACAAUAUUACCAAUUGCGAUGAAUAACAUUACUUACGGAUAAAUGGUCAAGGAAGGUGUUAAACUGGGCAUUGUCUUUCUCAUUCCUAUACUGGAUCCACGUUGGAUGGAUACAUGCAUGACACCUAACGGCAACGGCUGCCUCUAAUACUAACUUGGCUGACUCUGUAGCAUCAUGUGGCCUUUUUAAACCUGCCUCAAAAUGGAUCUCCAUUCUUCCUCCUUUAGAUUUUGUUAAUCUGUCAAGCAUUAUCCCUGAUGUCUGUUUUCGCUUGCGCCAUGGUGCUAGUUCAACAACGAAUAUGGAAAGUGUUAGUGUACAUAAAACUAUGAGAGUACAUAUAAAGGAGCAUGCAACUGCAACUUGACUCGGUCAGGUACCAUCUUGGUGUUGAUGCUCAUGAGGUUCAUCUGAUCUUGCCAAGUCCUGUUGUGUCAGCAGUGCUUCGGAAGUAGUGUUAGGUGUGAAGGCAGCUUGGGAACUGGCCAAUUUCGGAGCAAACGAACGAGUAACUCGUUGAGAUGCUGGUACGGUUGAAGCGGAUGCUGCAGCUGGUGGAGCAGGUGAUACUGUGUUUGUAGAUUUAGCCGGUGGACUUGGACCUUCUACUGCACUAUAAGUACCAGUAGAAGACGGAAGAUCCUUUUCCGUUUCACCCGACGAGUAACACCACUCCCUACUAUAUUAUUUUCCUUGCUCUUUUUUGACUUUGCCAUGUCAAGCCGUACCCACAACACAAAAGAAUAAAAUCGCUCUUCAGAACUCAUUGAUGCAUGAUACAGACAAGCAAUACUUUGAUGUAAGACAACCGUAUGAGGAUGGAAUAUGUAAGAAAAACAGGACGUCAUGACAUAUUCACAGCUAUGAUGUGCAAACUAAGCAGAAGGAUUUUCAGGAAAAUAGAAGUAAUGCAAGCUAGACACCAUAUGAAAGAUGCAACCAAUACUACUCUGCCAAGUUAAAAGUGUCUUGUCAUAAGUGGCAAUUCAAAAAAUUAGAAGCAGUACAAUGUAGAAAUCAAUGCAAGAUGCAACCACUAUCAAACUGCCAUGUUAAAAGCGUCCAAUCAUGAGUGACUGAUGUGGGAUACAGAACAACAGUACUUUGAUGUAAGAACAUGGUAUGAUAGAUAGAUGAAGUGUAUUCUAGACAUAGAAAGCCAUGUCAUAUGCACAUGUAUAACGUAUAAACUCAGCAGGUGCAAUUUAAUCAAAAUAGAAGAAAUACAGGCUAGACUACAUAUGCAACAUGAAACCAAUUAUCACACUGUCAACUUAGAGCAAGCACCUGCGAUGGUGGAGUACGAGAGAUGAACUCAUCAUGUAGACUUGGGACUUCAACUUCAUUAGCAGUAGGAGUGGCAAAUCUAGAGAGUGUGUGUUUGCGUCGGUGCGGAGGACCACCAACAUCCCCUAACUUACUCUUUUCCUUCCUAUUUUAUGAUAUUGCCUUAUGAAGUCAAAACCACAAGAAGAUGAAUAAAAUUAGCUCUGCAUAACUGGUUGAUGCAUGAUAUAGACGAACACUACUUUGAUGUAAGGCAAGCGUAGGAUAGGAGGAUGGAAUAUAUACAAAAAAGACAGUGUUUCAUAUUCACACGUACGAUAGUAGGAUGGAAUAUGUAUGAAAAAACAGUAAGCGGAAGGCAUUUCAACAAAAUUAGAAGAAAUGAAAGCUAGGCACCAUAUGAACAUGCAACCAAUAUCACUAUAUCAGGUAAAAAGUGUCUCGUCGUAAGUGCCAUUUCAAUAAACUAGAAGCAGUACAAGCUAGAAGACAAUGCAAGAUGCAACCUACAUCAUAGUCCCAAGUUAAAUGUGUCUUAUGGGUAAGUGAUCGUUGCAGGUAUAAGUCGUAAGCUACGCAGAUGCAAUUCAACAUAAUCAGAAGCAAUACAAACUAGACAUCAUACAGAAAACGCAACCACAUAUAACAGUUCCAAGUAAGAGCAAGCACCUGUGAUGGUGGAGUAGGGGAGAUGUGCUCAUCAUGUACACGUAUGUUCUAGAAACAGGAACACGUGUCAUAUUCACAUGCAUUAUGUGUAAAGUAAGCAGAUGCAAUUCAAGUUAGAAGGAAUACAAGCUAGACAUCAUACGCAACAUGCAACCACAUAUAAUAGUGCCAAGUUAGAGCAAGCACCUGUGAUGGUGGAGUAGGGGAGAUGUGCUCAUCAUCUACACAGCUACGGUGACUGUCCAGCCUUGUGUUGUCUUGCGAAUCUUGUUGGGAGGAUGGCGGAGUAGAAUCUGUAGAGACCCCCUAUUUGAGUUGCUCCGAAGGACAACCAUCAUCCACUGUUGGACUAAUUUCCUUCAGCUGUAAUGAUUUUGCAUUGUGAAGUCAAACCAAUAAGGAAAAGGAAUAAAAUCCACUCUUCAGAACACAUUCAUGCAUGAUACUGACGAACACUACUCGGAUGAAAGGCAAACACAUGAUGCGAGGAUGGAAUAUGUAUGAAAAACAGGAUGGUGUGACAUAUUCAGACCUAUGAUGUGGUAACUAAGCAGAAGGCAUUUCAACAAAUUAGAAGCAUUGCAAGCUAGACACCAUAUGAAAGAUGCAACCAAUAUCACUCUGCCAAGUUCAAACUGUAUGGCGUUUCAACAAAUUAGAAGCAGUACAUGCUAGAAAUCAUAUGCAAGACACAACCAAUAUCACAGUGGCGACUUAAAGGUGCCUUAUCAUAAGUGACUGACGCGGGAUAUGCAAGAACAGUAGUCUGAUAUAGAAACAGGAACACAUGUCAUAUUCACAGGCAUUAUGUGUAAAGUAAGCAGAUGCAAUUCAACAAAGUUAGAAGCAAUACAAGCUAGACAUCAUACGCAACAUGCAGCCACAUAUAAUAGUGAGAAGUUAGAGCAAGCACCUGUGAUGGUGGAGUAGGGGAUAUGUGCUCAUCAUCUACACAGCUACAUUGACUGUCUAGCCUUGCGUUGUCUUGCGAAUCUUGUUGGGAGGAUGGCGGAGUAGAAUCUGUAGAGAACCUCCAUUUCAGUUGCUCGGAAGGACCACCAUCAUCCAAUGCCUUGCCAAUUUCCUUCAGCUUUAUUAAUUUUGCAUUGUGAGGUCAUACCGACAAGAAAAAGGAAUAUAAUUUGCUCUUCAGAACUCAUUCAUGCAUGAUACUGACGAACACUACUCUGAUGAAAGGCAAAGUCAUGAUACAGUCAUGAUAUGAGGAUGGAAUAUGUACGAAAAAAUGGACGGCUUGACAUAUUCACACCUAUGAUGUGGUAUCUAAGCAGAAGGCACUUCAACAAAUUAGAAGCACUGCAAACUAGACACCAUAUGGAAGGUGCAAUCAAUAUCACCCUGCCAAGUUAAAACUGUCUCGUCAUAGGUGGCAUUCAUCAAACUAGAAGCAAUACAUGCUAGAAAUCAUAUUCAAGACGCAAACCAAUAUCACACUGCCAACUUAAAGGUGUCCCAUCAUAAGUGACUGAUGCAGGAUACACAAGAAGAGUAGUUUCAUGUAAGAACAUGGUGUGAUAGACAGAUAUAGUAUGUACCAAAAACAUGAAAGCGUGUCAUAUUCACAUGUAUCAUGUGUAAGCUAAGUAGAUGCAGUUUACACUAAUUAGGAGCAAUACAAGCUAGACACCAUAUGCAACAUGCAACCAGAUAUCACACUACCAAGUUAGAGCAAGCACCUUGGAUGGUGGAGUAGGGGAGCGGAGACUUGGACCUUGUAAUGCACUAUCAGUACAAGGAGAAUCGGUACAGAUGCUCCAUUUACGUUGCUGUAGAGGACCACCAUCAUCGCAUUCCUUACUCUUUUCCUUCCUCUUUCUUGAUUUUGCCUUGUCAAGUCAAACCCACAAGAAAAAGGAAUAAAAUUUGCUCUUCAGAACUCAUUGAUGCAUGAUACUGAUGAACACUACUUUCAUGUAAGGCAGUCGCAUGAUAGGAGGAUGGAAUAUGUAUGAAAAACAGGACGGCGUGACAUAUUGACAUGUAUGAUGUAUAAAGUGUAAACUAAUCAGAAGGUGCUUGAACUUGUUAGAAUCAAUGCAAGCUAGAAACCAUAUGAAAGAUGAAACCAAUAUCACUCUGCCAAAUUAAAAGGGUGUCCUAACAAAUGUAUUUGACCAAAUUAGAAGCAAUACAUGGCAACAGGCUAGAAAUAAUAUGCAAUAUGCAAUGAAUAAAGGUGACUCAUCAUAAGUGAUUGAUGCAAGAUACAGAAGAGAGGUAGUUUCACGUAAGAACAAGGUUAACACAUAGAUUUAGUGUGUACCAAAAAUAGGAAGGCAUGUCAUAUUCACAGGUAUAGUGUGUAAACUAAGUAGAUGCAAUUUACCCUAAUUAGAAGCAUUACAAGCUAGACACCGUAUGCAACAUGCAACCACAUAUCACACUGCGAAGUUAGAGCAAGCACCUGUGGUGGUGGUGUAGGGGAAGUGCGAUCUUCAAGUACAAAGCUAUGUUCAAUAUCUUCAUUUAGGCUUGCUGUUUCUUGAGAAUCAUGUGGGGAGGAUGAAAUUGCAUUCUUUAUAAGAGUAGUGCGUCUCAUAUUAACCCACGCGCGUGACUGUCUCAUCAUAAGCGAUAGAUGCAGGAUACACAAGAACAGUAGUUUGAUGUAAGAACAUGGUGUGAUAGGCAGAUGUAGUAUGUACCAAAAACAGGAAGGCAUGUCACAUUCACAUGUAUAAUGUGUAAGCUAAGGAGAUGCAAUUUAGCAAAUUAGGAGCAAUACAAGCUAGGCACCAUAUGCAACAUGCAACCAGAUAUCACACUGCCAUGUUGGAGCAAGCACCUUGGGUUGUGGAGUAGGGGAGAUGAGAUUUGGAACUAGCACUGCAGUACGAGUAGCAGGAGAAUCUGCAGAGAUCAUCUAUUUCAGUUGCUCCAGAGGACCACCAUCAUUCCGUGCCUUCGUCCUUUCAGAUUUUGCCUUGUCAAGUAAACACACAAGAAAAAGGAAUGAAAUUCGCACUUCCAAAUUCGUUGAUGCAUGAUACUGACGAACACAACUUUUAUGUAUGGCAACCACAUUGUAGGAGAAUGGAAUAUGUAUGAAAAACACUAAGCAGAAGUCAUUUCAACAAAUUGGAAGCAAUGCAAUCUAGACACCAUAUGAAAGAUCCAACCAAAAUCACUCUACCAAGUUAGAUGUGUCUCAUUAUAAGUGGCACUUCAACAAAUUAGAGGCAAUACAUGUUUGAAAUGAUAUGCAAGAUGCAACCAACAUUACACUGUCAACUUGAAGGUGUAUCGUCAGAAGUGAUUGAUGAGGGAUACACAAGAAGAGUAGUUUGAUGUAAGAACAUGGUUAAUAGAAAGACAUAGUAUGUACAAAAAACAGGAAGGCAUGUCAUAUUCACAUGUAUAAUGUGUUAACUAAGCAGAUGUAAUUUACCCUAAUUAGAAGCAUUACAAGGUAGACACCAUAUGCAACAUGCAACCACAUAUCACACUGCCAAGUAAGAGCAAGCACCUGCGAUGGUCGUGUGGGGGAAUUGCGGUGAUCAACUAGAGAGCUACGUUGACUAUCUUCAUUUAGCCUUGUUGUUUCUUGAGAAUCAUGUGGGGAGGAUGACACCGCACUCUUUAAACGAGUAGGGCGUCUCACAGUAACCCACCCGGGUGACUGUCUCAUCAUAAGUGAUUGAUGAGGGAUACAAAAGAGCAUUAGUUUGAUGUACGAACAUGGUUAAUAGACAUAUGUAGUAUGUAUCAAAAACAGGAAGGCAUGUCAUUAUCAAAGGUAUAAUGUGUAAAGUAAGCAGAUGCAAUUUAACCAAAUUGGAAGCAAUACAAGCUAGACACCAUAUGCAACAUGCAACCACAUUUGACAGCGCGAAGUUAAAGCAAGCACCUGGGAUGGUUGUGUGUGGCAAUUGAGAUCAUCAACUGCAGAGCUAAAUUUACUGUCUCCAACUACUGACACUGCACCCAUUAGAGCGCUGAAACGCUUAGUGCUUAUCUUCUUAUUACACUGGAGCGACUUCUGUCUUUUCUUUUCUGCAUUCAUCAACACUGCGUCAGAGUCUAAAAUAUCCAUGCAUAAAAAAAUAGUGUGAGUAUGGGUGAAGUGUGUGCACAAUUAGUAUAGUGUAAAGGUAGCAGAUAGCAGGUUGGUGAGAAAUAAAUGACGGGAGACAUAUGAUUUGCGCCUCCAAAUCGGGCGCAAGCAGCUCCUGCACCCCACACUCCUAUGAUAGACACCGACGCACCGCUUCCCUGGGGAACAGGCGGACUAGGUGCUCUGCGCGCCUAAGCGGGUACUGCUUCUUUUAAUUACGGUUCGACUGACCCUGAAUUGAAAUCCAGGCGGGCUACAGACCUCUAACAAAGGUGAAAUAGUAAAGGAAGGAAACCUUGUGCAUUUAAUAUCACGAAGAAUAUGCAGCAAGAAGCUCUCAACUAGUUUCUUUUGUGGGAUGAAUACGGUGUGAGCAGAGAUGUAAGAUUUGCACGAAUAAGGGAACAUGAGUACCUCUUUCUGCUGGCAGUGCUGUGUCCUCCUUCUGUUUUUCCAACGAUCUUCUUGUGGUUCGCUGGAAACGAGAAGUUGUGGAGGACGGUGGAGCCUUGGACGAACCCAUGGCCAAGUUGUUGAGUGUGGUGCGGUGGCCGUCUGUCGGCGGCGGGGAACCAGAUCCGAGGCGGCGAACGACGGCGUAGCGGGAACAGCUCCGGUGCGGUGGACGGUUGCGAUAGUGGAGCGGCAGCAGUGAGGCGCAUGCCGGCGUGGUCGGAGUGGUUCUGGUACGGCGCACGUCGGCGUCGGUGUCGUGGAGGCAGCUCUGCCUCAGCUUCAGCUGCUAAGUCCUUGAGGGCAUUGCAGUUGCGGUUGCAUUGGACGACGACGUCGGGGUACCGGCUCCGGCGUGAUGGAGGAGGGCGACGGUGGAUUGGACGCUAUGGGGUGGAGGACGGAGGAGGCUGGGGUUUCGCGGCUGGUGGAGAGGGUGUUUUGGCGCCCACGGAGUAUGAAUGGGGAAACGGAGGGAGGCGGGGAACUAAGGGGGAACAAUGUUUCGGUUUGAGACGCGCUUGUUUGAAAUUUUGGGAAAGUUACAAACUUUGCCCCCAUCUAAAAUUUCGGACAUAUUGCGGGUUGGGGGUAGGACAGUAAUCUCAGGUGUCCCAAAUGUGGGCGGGAUAUAUUUCAGCCGAGCGCAUGGGUGUUUAGGCGCCCACAGCAUAUGAAUGCUUCUCGGAGGCGGUUGAGACUGGCGUCUUGGUGAAGUUACAAACCUACCCCGGUUUAGACCUUUGGACAUCGGGCCGAUAGGCUACACGGGCCAGAGUCAGGACAAUAAUUUCCUACCACCAAACAUUAGUCUCGCGCGGUUUCGGGUGACCACAGGCCUAUUUGGCGCUUCGUUCAAUAUUUGGGAGCAGAAGCAUUAACGUUUUCGAUUCUCUUGAAUUGAACUUUCAGGAUUUGUCAAACUUCACAAAUCUUUACUCUUGAAAAUCCUAAAGCUAUGAUUAUUUUGGAAUGGAGGGGGUGCAUUUGAAUAUACAUUGUACACGAGUAUAUAUUAAAAAAUAUGCAACUUACCUUAGUUCAUGCAUGGUUCCAGAUAUAAUGUCCUUGGUUGCAAAAAAAAGUUAGAUAUGUGUAUGAAUAUAUAUAUAGCAUGUUCAAACUCACAACAAAGAUUGAUGCCCCCUUUUACAUCUGAUUUACAAAUACCAUUAUCUCGGGUUCAAGUAUAUGAAUGCACUUCCUAUGAAUUCGAAUCUUCAAAACCCCCUUUAUGUUGAAUUCGACAUGUAUUCUAUUUCGUAGCUAGCAAUUUGGAAUGUAUCCAUGCAAGUGACAAAUGUAUAAAGUGCUUCACACUAACAACAUGGAGUGCACUAAUUAAUGUUUAUAUAUGAAUUGCAAAAGCAUCCAUUGCCUGUAUUUCAAACCGCUCUCACUCUAUGGAUCGAUAAUAUGAAAUAAACACAUGCACAUGCUAGAAUUCAAUAGAGUAUGGGUGUCUGAUAGACCGAUUUUCGUCCAUACGCAAUUUGCAAAAUUCAUGAUCUCAUCCAAAAAUAAUAAUGCCAUUUAUAUUUUAAUUUAAUGCGUAGAACUGCCUUUUACACGUAGAUGCACUAUGCCUCGGCCCGUUCUCACCAACGUGAUAUAUCUCUCUCUAACACAUAAGUGCACACACUUUAUAUGCAUCGACAUUUCUCUUUCACACAUGCUCACAAUCUCUCUCUGGGUGUCGGGGUGUCUCACGCACAUGCUCUCUCUGUUUCUCUCUCUCUCUCUCUCUCUCUCUCUCUCUCUCUCUCUCUCUCUCUCUCUCUUUCUGACUACUAUGUACCACUCUUUUCACUAAUCUCAGUUGGAAAACACUAUUUCUCUCACAUGCAUAUAUACACACGCACAGUCUCUACUAGCCCUCUAUACGCACAUAUAUGUGCCUACGUGUCUCCUGCAUGCACAUUAUCUUUAGGCCUCUCCCGCACACAUUGCCCCCCAUACACACCUCUCUCUUAGUAGUUGGCAGAUAUGAUUUCAUCAUAUCAUUCGAUAGGAUAUCCCUGAUUGUUAGGCUGGAUGGUAAUAUGAGGCAAAGUUUUACCCUAGUUCGGACCCUUGCAGUUGAAGAAAGAGCCUACUCCUGGUACUGUAUAUUAGUGAUAGGGGUGUGUACAAAGUACACGUGAAUACCAUGCAUUGUGCGUGUGUGCAUACUAUCGACGAACUAGCCCCCAAGCUUCUAUAACAUACUGGGGCCUAGGGUUACAAAUCAUAUAUAAUAGGCUUAUCACCAGUGGGGAUAGAGUCCUCCGCAACUCUGGUAGCUUCGUGUUGUACGCCGAGUCCUCCACAUGGGUCUUCAUAUAACACGUCUCGGUCCAACCUAUAUGUGGCGCAGGAUGGAACCGACCCAUGAGUCUUCAUGUUGUCCGACCACAACUAGAAAUGAUGUGCCCACCACACCACACACGCAAUCGGCCACUAAGAAAAUAAGCAUAUACAUUAGUACAUCGGUAUCUAGCUCACGAUACAUCUCCAUAUUUUGUUGAUGACACUGACGAACUUUGCAUUUGAUGCGUGCUCCGUAUUUUGUUGACGACACUUACGGUCAUUGUAUUUGAAGUGAAAGCACGAUAUGGUCACUGGACUUCAGAAUAAGAUAAUCACGGUCACCACAUACAUUUUGUCGUGCUAACCAACAUGUGGUUGGAUGGUUAGGAGGACAGUGGUUUCUUGAGUCCACCAAGGUUAAAGUCCCGGUGCUCGCAUUUAUCUUGUGUUAAUUUCAGUAUUUUCCGGCGAUGUGCGUUCAGUGGGAGGAUACGUUCCACUCGACUACGAGGCACCUAUGGUGACUUCGUAAAAUCUUAAGAUCAUAUAUGCUAGCCCACUCUCUCGAAGGUGCUCAUAGGGGUAGGGUCCGCAUGUGUGUGCUUAUAGCGGUGAGUGCUUGCGCGUAUGUAUGAGCCCUUGCGUCUGUACCGUGUUAAACAAAUACAUGUCAUGAUUAUACGGUCACUGGCUCACCCGUACAACUCCAUAUUUUGUUGAUAACACAAUCAAUUGACCAGUCAAACGUUCCGCGUGGCGCAACUAGUGUUGCACCAUUGGGGAGUGUAACCGUGGGGCCCAGUUGUCAGCCCGUAUAUGAAAGAAAGAAAUGGUAGUUUGAGUCUGUACUGUGUUAAUAAAAUAGGAGUAAACCACUGGCUCACCAUACAGCUCCGUAAUUUGUUGAUAACACGAUCAAUUGACCAGUCAAACGGUCCACAUUCAACAGCGCACAUUACCAUAGGGCCCACCUGUCACCGCGUAUAUGAAGGGCAGAAAUGGUAAUGAAUUACACUACAAAAAAAAUACACUUCCGUGAUGAUAUGUGUUUGUCACAGUAGGUCGCGUUUUCUGUCAUGCAUGUACAUCCAUGACAAAUUUAUGACAGAAUCAAGAUAGUCAUACUUGUGCUGUCGUAGAAGUGUUCCAUGACAUUACCAAAAUUAUCGUCACGGAAGUGUCCACUUCCAUGAUGAUAAAUCGUGCGUCACAGAAGUGCUUUCGUCAAGGGUGACCGACACGUGGCAUCCACCGUAACGGAACGCCGUUAAGCUAUCGGGUCGGGUUUUGGAUCCGAUAACCCGUUAACAGCCCCGACCAAUGGAGAUUUUCCACGUGUAAAAUCAUCAUUGGCUGGAGGAAACACGUGUCGGCUCACCGUUGGGAUAGAUGUCAUCCGCUCAUUGGACCGAAGGCGCCUAUGAUACAGUGACAUGUGGUUCGGCCCAACAGAGGCCAAUUCCUGUGAAAAGGCCGGCCCGUUUGACCUGGUCAAAAGGUGGCGGGCCGGUCCAACGAAAGCGUGUUAACAGCCUGUUCGCAUAUAGCCCAUUUACAGCCCGCUAACCCAGGGCCCGUUACGCCCUAUCCAAAUUAGGCCCAGUAGCGUCAUCUGGGCCGUCCAAUACGAUUCAACCCGUUUUAACUUCCGGCCCAUGUGUGGCCCAUGACUUCUUUCGGCCCAUAUGAGGACCUUUGUAACUCUUGGCCCAUUAAUGGCCCAUGGUGAAACUGGCCCGUAAUGAACAUUGAAUCACUUUAUACCCAUUAACGUCUCGUUAUUCCAUUGGGCUGUUUCCAGCCCAAGUUAUCUUUCGGCCUUCUCAGGGCCCAUUGAUUCUUGGGCUCAUUUGCAGCAUUCGGUUACAUACGACCCAUUACUGUCAUUUUCUGCUUGUGGGCCAAAUUCAGCCCGUCGUUACAGUCGUCCAUUUGCGGACCGUUAAUACGUUGGGCCGUUUUCAUGUCAAAAAAACCCAUUGGGCUGUUUUCAUAGAGUUAUCAAAUACGGCCUAUUAACGGCCCAUUAUGGUCCAUGAAUAGUAUGGCCCAUGAUUGGCGAAAUGAUGAUACGCCCCGUAGAAGGCCCAUGGAUCCUACGGCCCGUAUGAGGCCCAUGGAUAGUACAGCCCGUAGAAGGCCCAUGGAUCGUACGGCCUGUAGAAGGCCCAUGGACCCUACGGCCCGUAGAAGGCCCAUGGACCCUAAGGCCCGUAUAGAAGGCCGAUGGAUCCUAUGGCCCGUAUAGAAGGCCAAUGGAUCCUACGGCCGGACGAAGGCCCAUGGAUCAUACGGCCUGCAGGAGGCCCAUGGUUACAACAAUCCGUGUGUUGCGAUGAUUAUUUUGGCCUAGUUACCAAAAAUAGGCUAUUGUGGCCACUAGAAAAAACGGAAAAAGAACUGCAGUGACUACAAGCAAACAACUAAACAAGACAAUAAGGAAAUAAAUAAGCAAGCAACUAACGCUAGCCUAUUACCCCUAUUACACAUAUUACAUCCACUAGGCAUCAAAGUUUGCCACCAGUGCAAAUAUAGGGAACAAAGCAGCACAUUACAUACACUGCCGUCAAAAUUGGCCACUAGUGCAAAUAAACGCGGCAGCAAAACAAGAGCAUAACUGAAACAACUUCAGAAGAGCUCACGAAACGUUAUCCUGGGUAUCCACCAUGCUGGCAAUAAGCUUAGCAAGCUGAUUAGCUUUGUCCUGUUUGGCGCUAAAAUCCUCCAACACUUUCUGUUGCACCAGAAAGUAUGCAUCUGAAUGCUCCAGGGACUUCCGCAGUCCUUCCGCUUCUUGUCGCAGCACAGCUGAUCGAUGUCUUUCAUCUUGUAGCUGAGACUCAAGAAACCGAACUGAUUCAGACAAUGAGUUUGAAUAGCUUGUGCAAGCGGUAGUGGCCAGUAACUCGAACACUAAACCAAGACAGGACUUUGGGGUUGUCUCGCUGUCUUCAAGAUAGUCUUCCUUAGCUGUUUUAUCAGCUUUGUUGGAGACCAACAAGGAUGCUUCACUAUCCUGAACCUUAUCUACAUUACUUCCUUUACCAUUGCUUUAUAAGGCACUCUUCCCCAAUAUUCUAUCAGCAUUCUAAAAGAAGAAACAAGCAGACACAUAACAAGUUUAGCAUGUACUAGUAUAUGAAACUCAUUUCGGUGAACCAGUUCAGUAGUAAGGUGGAGAGGAUUAAACUACCAAGUCUUCUAUUGCCAAGUACUAGUACAUAAUAAAAGCAUCAAACAAAACAUAUAUCUAUGUCCUAUGGUCACUGCAUUGUCUUGCCAAAUCAAAAUAGAGACACGGUUCAAAUCAUAUCAGUUCAAGACAAAGCAGCAGUGAAAGAAUACAAAGCGUGGGAAACUACACGGCACAACAAGAUUUCAGAUGGGUACCACGGGUCUACAUGUACAACAACACUAUUGGCUCUGUCGUGAUGCUAGUAAUGUGCAUGAUAUGAAAGUCAACUGUAUACACAAUUGAAAUUGAAAUCAAUAGAGCUAUUGAUAAGAGCAAACCUGUUAAAGAAACAUGCAUGAUCAUACCUGCUGUGCCAUUGGAGUUUCGAUUGGAUCCUUCAAUUUAAAUAUAAGUUUGUAUGAGUAAAUAAAGUGAUACAAGAGCAAAGCAAUCAUAGUUAAAAAAGGCGCGCCUAAGCGAGUGCUUAAGCACGCCUAGGCUCUAGGCGUUGGCAAAACGCAUUGCGCAUAACUAUGCAUAAUCUGUGCAUAACUGCGCAUAAGCAUGCGCUUUGGUCAGUAAAGCGCAAGGCGGUGGCAAAACACACAAUUACCGCCUAGCGCUUUUUUGAACUAUGAUAGCAAUGGAAUCUUAAAUUAGAACAGUUGUUCUUCAUGUUUAGGCACUUGUUCUACAUGAACAGAGCACAGUAAGACGCAAGAAUAUAAUACUUAAAAAUAGAAAAUGAGCUCAUAGACCUUACCACAUUCUUGGUUCGGGACCAGUACAGAACAAGGCGUUCCCAGUCAUCGUCCAGUAAAUGUGUCUCAGGAGAACGUAAGGGAAUUUGAUGAGUUUCUUUGCCGGUGAAGUACGUUUUCUUCAGGUAAUUCCUAUAUUGCCACCAAGCAUUCUUGAAGAUAGCAGAGGUAUUAGCACAGGUUACCUCAUCCCGAGUUUCCAAAUCGGUCCUUCUCUAUAGAGAAAAAUGUGAAAAUUUGUUGUAUUAUAACCAUCAUGGAGGUAGGAUGUAUGGGACAAAGCAAAGUAAUUGCCAUGAAUAACAUUACUUACACAUAACUCCUGGACAAACACCUGCAACUGUCAUUUUCCUUCAUCUUCAGUAUAAUAUUUCCAAGAUGGGAAGAUAAGCACAUACGAUUUAACAACAUCAAAUGCGAUAGAUGCUAAACUACGACUAGCUGGUUGUGCUUCCUCCACAGGAAUAGGCAUACUAACUGGUGGAGUUGGGGUUCGCCAUGAUAGUACUGGCCCUUUGGGCACUGGAGCUGCCUUACUAACUACUCUUAUUUGGGAGCUCUGUGGUGGAGAUGGUGCUGUGUCAACAGGAACUGGGUUACUAUCGGCUCGGGUUGGGGUUAGAUUGGGUGAAGCUGGUUCUCUGUCCAUCGCAGUAGGGGUACAAUCUGCGAGAGUUUGGGUUAUGUGUGGUAGGGCUGGUUCUUGUGCAUGUACAACCGGGGUGCUAUCUCCACCAAGAGGUAGCACUGUUUUAUUUGAAGACCGUGUUUUUAGUCCACUAGAUACUGGGAUCACCCGCUCCAAUUCAAAUGGCUGAUAAACAGGAAACAUAGUUGAAUGCACAGACAUUGUAUGAGAGACAGAUGUAAUAGAUAGUGUGGAAAAAAGAGGGCAUGAAAUAAUUGACAUGUAUAUUGUAUAACUAAAAUGGAUAGCAUGACAUAAUUUCACAUAUAUGAUGUCUAUCUAAACUGGAUAGCAUAGCAUAACAUAAUUCAAAGAUAUGAUGAAUAAAUAAAUAGGAUCACAUGACAUAAUUCACCUACAUGUUAUCUAAGUAAUCAGGAUCGCAUCAUUUAAUUCACAUAUGUGAUUUAUAUGCUAAACAGAGGGCAUUCGAUAUGAUGUAUGAACUAAGAACAUGGUGUUGAAUAUUGUGUAUAUGAUGUCUAAACUAUGCAAUGUAAGACACCGUAUGCAUGAUAUGAGCAGUACACCGUGCCAAGUUAGAGCAUACACCUCAGUGGGGGAAUAGGACUGGUCAUCUGUCUCUGAAUCCAUCUCUGAGGAGCUAUCGGGACCCAACAAGAGAUCUGCUUCGACAGGUAGCACUGUCUGCCCUGAAGGCCUUGUUUUCACUCCAGAUUUUUCCAUCUCCCACCCAAAUGGCUGAUUCACAGGAAGAGUAGUUUAAUGUACAAACAUUGUCGACAAAUAGAAAUGUAAUGAAGAAAAGGAUGGGCAAGAUAUCAUUCAAAUAUAUGAUGCCUGGUUAAACAGGAUGGCAUUGCACAUUUCACAUAUAUUAUAGCUGGCUAAAAGACAUGCGACUGCAUAAUUCCUAUAUAUGAUAUAGAAACUAAACAGGUGGCAUUACAGAACAUGUCUAAACUAAGCAGAUGACAUAUAUGAUGUCAAAAGUAGGCACUGCAAGGCAACAUAUGCAUGAUAUGACUAACAUAAUCAUGCCAAGGUAGAGCAAACACCUUGGGGGGUAAAUAGGAGUGGUCAGCGGCGUCUGAAACCGCCUCAGAACAGAUAUCUUCCUCUGGAUUACAAUCUGGAGAGGGGUGGGGAGGGUUUGCCAUUGAACUCACCAUGGAGCGAUGUCUGCAUGACAUUGUAUUGCCGCGCAAAACUCUUCUCUUUUUCUCUACAUGUUCAGCAUGACCGUGUACAAUAUCUGACAUGCAUACAAAAAAAUAUGGUGAGAUUAUGUAAGGAGAGCAUGCAGAAAUUUAGAGUGAUGGUAACAACCAGUGGAUCGACGUUUUUCCGUUGAACCAAAAUAGCCCUAAUGGAUCGACGUGAAUGUAUAGUAAUAAGUGAUGCAACAAGUGUACAACCUCUUUGCCGUAGCCGUGUUGACCUCAGCAUCAUUGGGUUGGUCGCUGGAGCAGUUGAGGCAGAGAUGGCUGUCGGAGGUGUGGAGGAAGAUCUGAGGAAUCUGUAGACGGCGUCCAGGGCACUGCUCUGUUGUGAUGGAUCGUUCUGUCAUUGGAGCAGCUCCGGUGAGCCGUAAGACGUCAAGGCUGGAGCAGCACAAGACAGACAUCAUCAAUCUCAAGUGGGAUUCUAAUAGCAUCUCCAGUAGAUGAUGUAAAAUGGAUGUAAAAUUAACAUCACAAAAAACCACCUGACUACAACAGAUGAGGUAAAAACUGUUGACUCUGAAUUUAACUGUCGAAACUGAAAUUUACUGUGGAAUCUGAAUGCUACUGUCGAAACUGAAAGCAAUGGUAGCAGAGAGGCACUUGACAUGUAGUUUAGGGAGGGCCUGCAGUUCAUCUUCAACCUGCACCCCCCUGAGCCGCCAGCCACCACCGGCCCCAGCGCCGCCUCGCCGCCCUGAAACAACUCGCCACCGCCGCCCCGGCCAGCCCUCUAGCCCACCCGCCCCCACCCUGAACCCUAAGAUAGAUAAUGGGGUACCUCUCCGGCGAGCCUCCGUCCCCGCUGCGGGUGGUUCUUCCUUAACUCCGGCGAGCCCCCCAACCCUAAAAAUCGACUGACCCAAAAGUCGAUUCAGUCGACUGAAGUGUGGCUUAAUCGGAGCAGAGCAGCAGCACGAGCGAGGGGGAGAGUAGCAGUAGCAGCUGGGUGAGCGAGCGAUGGAGCAAGAGCCGGAGCAGCAGCAGCAGCGCAAGCGAGAGCCGGAGCAGCAGCAACAGAUCCGGCUGGUAUGGCCGCCGCCGCCGAAGGGGCCUCAAAUUGGGGGAGAGCCGCUGUGGAGAUGUCACCCGCAGCGCCGGCUUCAAGGUAACCGCUCCAUGGGGGUGCGGGAUGGAGCAUCGUCAGCGUAGGGAGGUCGAGUUAAGGAGAAGGUGCGAUGCGAUGAGUGUACAACCUCUUUGGUGGCACCGAGUAGGCCUCAGCUUCGUUGGAGGAGUCGGUGAGGAUGCUGCAGUUCCGGUGGAGCAGGUUAACGCGGCGCUGUGGGGAUGGAGCAGCCGCGAUAGACGAGGCGAUCGUUGGAGCAGCUCCUUGGAGGUGGAGGACGGGGCGGCUGAACCAGCGGGACGGUGAGAUGGACGAUGGAUCCUCAUCCGGGGAGGUGGAUGAGGGACGUCGAGCUGUUGCGGUGGACGAUGUCGUCGGGGAAGAGGCUCCGGCUGGGCAGCGGUGACAUGGCGGACGGAGGAGGGUGGGGUUUCGCGGCUGGAGCGGAGAGGUUAUGGCGGCCUAGGAUUUCGAAUGGCAAAAAGGGGGCGAUGGGAGGGGGUGAAGCAUGACUUAGGGACGCGCUUGUCCAAAAUGUAGGGUGUGUUACAAAAGUACCCCCACCGAUUUGAACUAGCGGCCCUUUCGGCUCAGGGUUAGAAGGGGGAUUUCGCGUGUCGGGAUUUGGCAGUUGGAGGGAGUUUUCGCGCGCAUUGUAAUUUCGGGAUAGCAAGGCGCAGGUUGUGAAGGCGCCAGUUUUGAGAGCAUGAUAUUUGAAUUUUCGGGAUAUAACAAGACGCAUGUUGAAUUUUAGGGACAAGCCUAACAUGUAGUAAUAUUGUAUUUGUACGUACCAAAUCAAUUCGCACUUCCCUCAACCAAAAAGAAAACGAAAAAAAUAAAACUAUUCACACCACAUAAAGAGAGAGUCUUGCCCCGUUUUACUAUACAAAUGCUAUUCAAAGCUACUCCCUCCUUCCAUCUAUAUAGGGCCUAAUGCAUUUUUCGAUGCUAACUUUGACCAAAUAUUAGAGCAAUGAUAUAGGACAUGCAACCUACACAAAGCACACCGUUAAAUUCGUCCGUGAAAGGUUCUUUCAAUGAUAUAAUUUUCACAUUGUGCAUGUCAUGUACUAUUAAUCUUGUCAAUAGUCAAAGGCGGUCUUAAAAAUCUCAUUACGCCCUAUAUAGAUGGAAGGAGGGAGUAUGAAUCCAUGUCAUGUCCGAUUAAUUUUUUUUGCUUGAUGUAUAAUGCAUGUAACCUACUCAUACCAACAUUUUAGUGCAUUCCAAAUGUUAUACUACCGCUGCAAUUCGAACUAAAUUUGAAUUCGUUUCUCUAUUUCAAUAGGAAUCUACAAUCAUGAUUGUUGCCAACUUCAACCAUCAUAGUUUCCUUGCUAUCCGCCAGAUAUAAAUCGGACGGCCUAUAAUGCAGGAUGGCAGGCACACCAUCAUCAACAACUCCGUUUUUAUAAGGGUAGAGAUAAAAUAUAUUAAAUGUAGUAUAACAUGCUCAUAACCACACCAUGUGUAUCACCGUAUAUAUAUUCACACAUGCGUCGGUUAAAAACACUAUGAUAAAUUCUUCAAAUAUCCGAAUUCGCUUUUCAUAAUGAAGUAUAUAUGAUCUCUAUUCGUCUUUUACACCCACACAACCCUCUUAUCUUUGUAGCAAGCGCUAACUUUCUCUUGUGCAUGCACACGCCCUCAUCCCUCUCACCCUCCCUCAGCAUUCUCUAGCUCCAUCAUGCAAAUUCAUAUUUUCACUUUAGGUCGUUCACCCACGGUGUGUGUAGGCCCCCCAGCUCCUUCUUUACGGCACACAUCGAUCGAUAUGCCUCUCUAGCCAGGUGUGCCUAGCACAAACACAAGCUUCCCCUCUUCUCUUUUCAUUGUCCAUGCCUCACUCCCACUACUCUUUUCAUCGUUCUCGUACUCGCACACUCCUCCCCCUCGAUAUAGUAUGCCUCUCGUACCACCUCCUACAUGCAUCCCUCUCUCUCCAUCCUUCUCCUCGUGCCUCAUUUGCUUCUAACACAUACAUGCAUGUAUACCGAUCGAUCUCCCAACAUAUACCUAGAUCGACUUUAACUACCCCCCAUCGAUCGACGUACCUCACAAGUUAUGUCUCUCCUUUCUCUAACAAAGGGCGAUUGAUCUUCCUAUGUAGUUAUGUCUGCUUACCACAGCCACAUCGUCCCCCCUCAUCAUUCGUUCAUGCCUCCUGACCAGUCUCUCACACGCACAUGCACAGACAACAAGCAGCCAUCUCCUCUCUUAUUGAUAUUGCGGGCGUGCCCCCCGUCUGUCUAGCAAGCCUAUCCCACCAUUUGUUAGAAGCAACUCCACUACCACCCACUCCAACACUCUAGCUCUGUCUCUCUCCCAACCUUAUUCCUCUCCUACACAUAUGCAUGGAUGCCGAUCGAUCUCCCUUAAUACAUGAGGCAGAUCGAUCUCCUUAAUACAUGAGGUAGGCCUCUCUCCUCCUCCACACAUAUACCAGCCAUUGUACCUCUAUAGUUAAUUGGGCCUCCCUCUUGCCCCACCACACACCGAUAGUCGAGUGUUGCAGGUAAGUAUCCAUGCCAUAGAGACAAACUGCACAUGUCCCCUCUCACGUUCCAGUAGGCCAGCCACUCUAUAUCUUUGACAUGGGCACACACAAAUUCGAUGGCACUCUUUAUCGAUCGCACGCGCCCACACACACACACAUCAUAUCUCUCUUCGAUUCUAUGGACACCUCAAGCUGAUGAUACCUCCACUCUCUUCUCGUGGAUCGCCCCCUCUAUAUAUAUGUUAUAUCCAGGACUCUAUUUCACACACAUNNNNNNNNNNNNNNNNNNNNNNNNNNNNNNNNNNNNNNNNNNNNNNNNNNNNNNNNNNNNNNNNNNNNNNNNNNNNNNNNNNNNNNNNNNNNNNNNNNNNNNNNNNNNNNNNNNNNNNNNNNNNNNNNNNNNNNNNNNNNNNNNNNNNNNNNNNNNNNNNNNNNNNNNNNNNNNNNNNNNNNNNNNNNNNNNNNNNNNNNNNNNNNNNNNNNNNNNNNNNNNNNNNNNNNNNNNNNNNNNNNNNNNNNNNNNNNNNNNNNNNNNNNNNNNNNNNNNACGUAGGUGGUGUACGUAUACAAAAAGAGAAUAGGUGCACCGUGCACGUACUCACGCUUCGUGCCCAGCCACACCCGCGCGGGUACACGGUGGAGCUCAUUUCUUUACGAGAUGGCAGCCCACGUGCUAAUUUGAACACCUGUAGCGGUUGUUUACCUAGGGAGGUCAUGUACCACGCGUGCACGAAACAAAGUUCGACUUGACGCGUUGCCGCGUUAUUCCUAAAUAAAGUUAUAGCGCUCAAUGGCACGUACACAGAAUAUAAAAUGAUUUUUAUGGAGAAAAAGGUAGUCCGCUCACUAUAUACAAUGGAGCCCGCCUGCCUGGUUUGUCGCUCUCCGGAGUAUCUCACACAAGGCUGCGGUGGCCUCUCUUUCUCUCAACGUUGGUCACUGAUCCGGCUGCAUCCCGUCCACCAGGGGAAAGGGAGUGUGGUGGCCUCUCUCUCUCUCUCACCAUUGGUCACUGAUCCGGCCGCAUCCCGUCCACCGGGGGAAAGGGAGGAAGUGUAUCGUUUCUCCGUUCGACGGUGCCGAGGCAGCACGUCCCGAUCUGCGGUACACGCCGUUCUCUCUGACCAAGCUCCGACGCGGCAGGGCCUACGCCACCUGCUCGUAGAUUCCGCCCGCCGCUGCUCACCUAGUUACAUCCCGAUGACCUCCAGGUAUCCCCUCUGGCCUUGCUCCACUGCCCGUCUUCCCACAUCGCUGCAUGUGGAUCUUCCAUAGUUCUUUGCCCAAAACGUAGCUCGUCCGGCAUACUUUCCAUAUUGCAUUCUCGUCCUCACACCAUUUUAGACAAACACAACCGUAUUGUUAUCUUCCCUUAGGACAAGGAAUAUGCUUCUCUUUUGUCGUCACAUGUGUCAUCAACUGUUAUUGGCCAGUAAUUGUUUCCUUUCUACCUCUUUUUUGCAAACAGGGCUAUCCAUUUCACCUCGUUGCUAUUGCGACCUUUUGGUGAACUGCACAAAUCACUUUUUUCUUAAGAGUGUUUUGUGCAGUUGUACUAAAAUGUCACACGGGCAACGUCUCUACAUUUCAGUGCGACUGCACAAAGGGAGAUUGGUUUUGCUCUAUCCUCCUCAUCCAACUCCGAGCCUAAUAUUCUCCAACUAGUUAGUCUUAAGAGAGACUGCAAGGUGACCGACUUCUAUUUAUGUGUUUAUUGUUUCAUUAGUAGUCCCCUAUUAUCAUAAUCACACUUAAUAUCUUUGGAACAGGGACGCUCAUCUCUAUUUUAGUGGAACUGCACAAAAUGAUCGGAAUGUUGCAUGCUCCAGACAGCUACUUUUUUCCCAACAUGCCUUGUUGAUUUAGACAGAGCUGGGGGGACGUUGCUGCCAAUGAAAGCAUGGAUCAAUUUUAAUUUAACACCUUCUCACAACUCUGUUUUCAGUUGUGAUGUAAUUAUUAGCUCUGGUCUGCUAAUAAUUGGCAUGCAUUAGCAAGGAAGUUAGUUUUUUAUUGUUUCCGAAAGAGCAUCGAUGGCAAGACACACGAAACAAAAGCUGAAAGCUCACACCAUUGUACAAUUUCAUGUCGCUGGAAAAUUAUUUGGAUAGUAUGUCAAUUAUGUAAACAAAUGAUGGAAGCUUGAUAGCAUUGCCAGAAGCCUCUUCAUCAUCCGGGUCCAUGUGCCAUGCACAAAAUUAUACUCCUUCGUUCCUAAAUAUUUGUAUUUUUACAAAUUUCAAACGGGCAUAUUUUAGAGUGUAGAUUCACUCAUUUUGCUUCAUAUGUGUACUCCCUCCGUUCCUAAAUAUUCUAUUCGUCUUUCUAGAGAUUUCAACAAGUGACUACAUACGGAGAAAAAUGAGUGAAUCUACACUCUAAAAUAUGUCUAUAUACAUCCGUAUGUGCCAGUCCAUUUGAAAUCUCUAAAAAAACAAAUAUUUGAGUAGUCACUCGUUGAAAUCUCUAGAAAGUCAAAUACUCAGGAGUAUAUUUAAGAACCGAGGGGGUAGUGCACAACCGCAUGGGAGACUCAGCCCGAUCGUUGCGCCGCAUUAAUAGUGAGUAAUGAGCAGUCAAAUCAUAAGCCCCACCUUUCCCACUCUAAGUUGCUCUGAAGAAGCAACCAUCAAUACGCUCUUCUUUGAAUCCGCUCAUACUACUCCAUCCGUCACUAUUUAUACAGCGCGCUUCAGAAAAAAGAAAACAAAUCUGUGAGACCAAGGCGACUAGUUAUCGGCCUGAAAAAUAGCAUUGGUAGUUAUAGCACGACAUCUAUUACUAGAGGAAUAAUGAGUACACACAUGCAUGCAGUGCUUCCACCCCGGGUACACACAUGCAUGCACGUACUCCACUCCGUAGUAGUACAGAGUAAAUGGAGAGAAAAUUGUGGACUUGAUUGCGGUUACGACGCCCUAAUUAAUUGAGCAUUAAACCAAACACAUCUAAAGUCUCUCUGGUGCUGGAAAUGCAUUGAGAGAAAUACAUCAUAAUGAAGCGCGCCCGGUAAACUAUGACGGAGGGAGGAGUAGUAUGAAGGUGCAAAACCAAGUAUGCAUAUGGCCAGUCGGUCAACGCACCUCCUCUUGGCAUAUCAUUGACAUGUGGGACAGGAGUGUGAGCAAACCGAUCUCAAUUGACGGCAAAGAGCCAACCUGCCGUUCCUUGAGAGAGACAAGGAGCUAGAACACACAGACAGGCUCGCACGGAGGCGAAGAUAUAUUCGAGCAUGGUUGGUUGAUCGAUAUCAUUCAUUACAUGUUGGGCUGCCGUUUUCCGCCCUUCUCUGGAAUAAACGUGUACUUCAUCAGAGAUAAAAAAAUAAGAGUACAGACGCUCCACCAUGCGGUUCUAGUAGUAGUACUACUCGUCUGCGCUUGGCUCUUCGCCUCUUUGUGAAGUCGAACAAUGAUGGUACUUCGCAUGUUGGGUACUACAGUGUAUGCCUCUAACAAUCUGACACCGAAUGGACUGAUGCAUGUCCACCAAGGGUAGGUUGCAUUAGUCAAAAGGCGUAAGCGAGCUUCACCUUGUCAUGCAAGCUUCUCCUUGUUCUGCGAGUUGACGGGACACACCAAAAAGUAGUGCUAGUCCAUACUCCCUCCUUUCCGGUUAAUAUGGCUUAAUCUUUUUUGCGGGUAAAUGAGAGAGCUUUAUUCGUAUAUAAGCAUUCUUAGGAUGAUCAGCCAAGACACUGGUUGUUGGACUUCAUAAUACGCUCAUUGCGCUCAAUAUAUAUAUUUUCCGGUGUUUAUACAGUCACUAGCUCACCCUGACUGAGUAUGUGUGUGCAUGCACGUGUAGGUUGAGCACUUGAGCAUGACCGUGUGUGUUCCGUCGUGUGCUCGGACAUGGAUGCAUUAGAGCGCCGCGCACGUUUUUGCGUCCAUGUGUACGUGUGACUGUUGCAUACACGUAGGGGAGUAUGUGUAGGGGCCACUAACGAGCAGUCGAAUCACACAGUAAGUUAGUCGGAAGAAGCAACCGUCAUUUCACUCUUGAAUGACACAUACGCAAUAUAAAAUGGUUGAUAUGGAGAGAAAAACAAAACCACUAUAUAUACACUAGCAGGAGCCUAAGCUACAAGCCUGCUUGCUUAGGUUGCUCUCUUCACAAGCAUAGAACGACGGGCCUGAUCCCGCAGCUGGGGGAAGGGAACAAUGUUCUGCGUAGACGCGGUCGACAUCGGCGAGUGAGAAAACCCACAGUCUAUGCGUCCCAAUCGGGGGUCACCGCGUCAUGGGCCGAUGCUGCGUCCCGACCACCCUUCUAGCUACAGCCCGACGUCCCAGGUAUAGUCCAUCUUCCUUUUGGAGCCGGCUUGCUCCACUGCCGUAGCUCCAUCUCCAUGUCGAUAUUUCUCUACUUCUACCGGCUUAUCCUUGUGAUGAGUUUAUGUCUCAUGAACUAGUGCCAGUACAAUACUAUUAUUCUAAUCACACUUCUUCAACAUCUUUGCCAUCAGGGAUGCUCAGGUCGAUUUUAGUGGAACUGCACAAAAGCAUCAUAUGAUCCGAGGGUGCCAGCCGUCUUUCCUUCGACGGGUUCUACCUGGCCAGGAAAUUAAAUCAUGUUUAGGUUUAGGGUUUAAGUCGUAGUGACCCCAUCAGUAGUUUUUCUUUCGUACACGCUCUCACAAUUUUUUUCUUUAGUUGUGAAGUAAAUAUUGGCUAUGAUCUGUGAAUCAUUGAGAUGCAUCAGCAUGCAUGUUAGUUUUCCUUUGUAUUUGAUGGAAUGUUGUAACGAGGCAACCUUGGAAUAGGAAUGAAAAUGGAGUGGAAAGUUUCCGUUUUUCCGGAGAAAAAAUGGAAACGGAGAGAAAUCAACGUUUCGUUUCGUUGGAUCGCGCCAUCGAGCAAAACUAACGUUUAAGUCACGUCUGUCGUGUUCGUGUCUCACCCUCCUCCACGGCUCAACCCCACACAGUCGCUCUACAUGCCACUCACUGCAAACCGAGUAGUAUACGAUAACUUUCCCGCCUGCUUGUCGAUGGACCGCGCCAUGGAUUGCUAGCACUACUGGAAGAGAUUGACGAGUUGGGGGAGGACAGCUAGCUGUAGCACGGACUCCCAAGAACUUUUUACAUGCAUGUUGUAGCCGGCUAUUGCGACCUUUGAACGCGGAGCAGCCGCGUGCACCCGAAAGCGGUGCGGGCGACGCUCUCUCGGCCGGCACGCCGCUUCAAUGCCGGCGCCAGUGAGAGGUCGCGUCCGCUCUGGCCGGGCAUGAAUGCGGCAUUGACUGUUUCGGGCGGGAAGCACGCGCGGGUGAUGAAGAGGGUUCGGGUUGGUCAGGACCGGCUGUGGCAGCGGUCCAGACAUGCGCAAACAAGAGAUGUUGUACGUUAAUAUUGCUGCGUAUAUAAUUAACAACGUAAAUAAUGUGCCAGUUGGACAAAUAUGAUUGGAGAUGGAGAUGAAAAUGGAAUUUUAUGUAGUAAACACGGAUAUGCAUGUCUAUGUCUAUGUGUGUGUGCGCGAUGACUCUCGCGACCUGGAAGCGGGGGCGUGUUUUUGAUCGAGUUUUCUUUCUUGGUACGUUAGAAAAUCAGUUUGUCUAAUUCACAUCUAGAUGUUAUUUAAGGAUAUCACAUCUAAGCUCCCACAAGUAUAUAAUGUACAACAACAAGAAAAAAAAACUAGGACAAAAAAAUAGACCACAAACAGAGUGGACAUCAACUUAGAUGUGACAUAACUAUGUCACAUCUAGAUGUGUCCUAGACAGACCCUUAAAAAAUUGUCUGCCAGUUUUCGUUUCUUUUUUCCGGGAACGCGCGUGUUCUAUUUAAAACCACUGCCGUCUAGGUGAGUAAGUCAUCUUAGGUUGUGCACCGUGACCAAGGAGGAGGGGAAAACGAGAGACAUUUUAAUGUUUAUUUGCUAAUUAAUAGCAUUGCAUGCAAUGAACUAACCGCUGCAUGUCGUGUUUGUAGUCUCAACUCAUUAAAAGCAUGCACACCCCUCAUCUUUUAUUGGUUGAUAUGUCAAGAAACAAGAAACGAGGUAGAAGUUAAUGCACCGCGCCUAAGUGUUUUGGGAUUAUUUGGUUUUCAUAAGAUGACUUACACACCUAGACGGAGGGAUUCCACUAGGUAGAUAAGUCUUUGUAGAGAUUCCACUAGGUGAACUACAUACGGAACAAAAUGAAUGAAUCUACACUUAAAAUGCAUCUAUAUACAUCCGCAUGUGGUACAUGGUGAAAUCUCUACAAAGACUUAUAUUUAGGAACGGAGGAAGUACUAGUAUAGUACGUACUGUAAUUUAUCAGCGAGAUAAAUUUGUACAAUGCUAUGAAGCUUCCAGCUUCUGUUACAUGUAUCUUGCGUCCAAGGUUUCCCAUUGCAACAUUUCAUCAAAUACAAAGGAGACUAACAUGCAUGCUAUUGCAUCUCAAUGAUUGACAAAUCAUAGCCAAUAUGUACUCCCUCCGUUCCAAAAUAAGUGUCUCAACUUUAUGCAAACUUUAGUACAAAGUUGUACUACUACUAAAGUUGACACUUAUUUUGGAACAGAGGCAGCUAAAGAAAAAAAUGAUCCAUGCAGUCCCUAGCCCUUGAACCGUAAACCCUAACCAGGCUUAAAUUUGUUGGCAACGUGGAGCUACCGAAGAAAUGAAGUUUGCAACGUUUUGACUAUCAGAUCAUUUUGUGCAGUUUCACCAAAAUCGAGAUGAGCAUCCCUGUGGCAAAGAAAUUGAAGAAGCGUGAUUAGGUUAAGAUUACUGGGACUAGUCGAUUCACAAAAAUAGUACGUAGAAGCCAGUAGAGGUAUGUGCGGGGCAAAGAAGUAGAGAAAUAUCCACAGGGAGUGAUGUGGGCAGCUAGAGCAGUGGUGCAAGCCGGCUAUAAAGGGAGUUGUACCUGAGGGACG
rnacentral:lncRNA from 1 species